CUGAAGAAUCUGCUUGAGAGGGCGUCCAUCUCAGAAGAUCACCGUGCUUUGAUGCGUAUGGUGAUUGGAAGGAUUUCGUCCGCCGAAAGUGGAUUGCAUAAUGCCGCCAGGAGUUUGCUGGCGGGAUUUGAGGUACGCAAGAAUGACGCACCUUUUUGACAGUUUUGCACAUAAAAGUGUGCCCUGUAUAGAUAGUAGCCCCUGAGACUCGGUAGGUUGUCGAAAGCGACAGCGUGCCAAGGAUCAAAAUCUCAAGUAAUGAAUGUCGCCAUUCCUAUGCAGGUGGCGGAUAGUCCGAGGGCUAGCCGGACUAGUGGAGUUGCCGAGUUAAUGCGGCAACUUGAUGUGGCAGAUGCGGACAUCGCACUUGUCAACCGGCGACUUGACGAGUCGCAAGGUAAAUGAAUUCUCCACAGUCUCUUAUUUAAGGGGGUCAAAGCCCGCCUCUGAUAAUGUAUAUGCUGUGAUACAGACGGUGCUGCUGCUGUGGAGAGCCUUCGGGCCGAACUUGCUCAAGCUAAGGAGCAAGCCCGAAGGAGUGAUGCGGCUGCCUCGAGGGCGGCCGAGGAGUUGAAAGCCGAAAAGGCUGCACACUGCCUAAGCAGGGAAAAGAUGGCCGAAUUGGCCGUGAAAUUAAAAGAUGCUGCCGACUGCAAUGAGGCUCUUGAAAAGGAGCGCUUAUCGGAGCGGGAAGACCUGGGGAAGGCCACCACCGAGGCCAAGGAUGCCCGUUCUGCAAUGCGGGCUAUGAAGGAGGAGCUGCGCCAGGCCGGAGAUAUUGUGGCUGGCAAGCCUUUUCUGUUGCGUCGUCGGUUUACGGAUCAAAAGUAUGCUCAACUUGGCCAGCUGUGGGGUCCGGAGGAUCCAUAUAUGGAUUUAGCGGCAAGUGCGGCUGAUGCCGUUGAGCACUUCCGGAGCCAGAAGGAUCACAAGAUGGAAGAGCUAUUUUGGUCUCAAUUCCAUAGUCCGGAUUGUUCACUUCCGUUGACCGAUCGGUUGGCCGAAUGGGCCGAGCUAAAUAGAUUGUCCGAACUUGCCAUGACUGACAUCGUGGCUCAUGUCUGGCCAGAGAGGCCCAAGGCGACGAGCUAUUUCGGCUUAUUGCAGCAAUUUCUUGGAGCGGUGCCGCAUAUCAAGGAGAUGAAGCGGUCGGCCUGCAUCGAAGGCGCGCGGAUGGCUCGUGCCCGUGUGAAGACACAUUGGACAGAGAUGGAUGCCACCACUAUUGCCGCCCAGGGUUCGGACGAAAGCCGGUUACCUGCCGAGCACUAUUUUGGGGAAGUUAUGCGUGGCGCUUGUGUAAUAGAGUCGCAGUGCUCGAAAAAUGUCACGUUCAAAUGAACGUUAUAGCUUGUAAAACGAUGAUUAUGCUAUAACUGUUUUUUAUACUUGUGCGUCCCAAGUAGUAAAAUAUCUCCUAUGCGGCCGUUUACGUAUACAUUUGUAUAACCUGAAAGAUUGCAGUCUUCGGCUUCAGCCCCCACGCACAAGGUGCGGGGGUGUUCGCAAAAAUAGCGCGUUUUCACACUUAAUCCGACGUCUCGGUCCUGUUAAGGAGGUGGUAGCGUAGCAAACGAGGCAAUCCGGACUAUAAUGCUUUAUCACUUUCACUUAGCCAGUGGAGUUCGAGGGUGGGGCUACGAUAUAGCCCCUUGGGGCACCGCGCUUCUCCGAGUUCGGGGCACGUGUGUGCCUGACCGGGAAAUGGUCCUUCGUCAAAGCGGGGAAUUCUAAACAUUCCGGUAGUCGAUCGAGUGGUUGAUCAGUCUCUCGCUAUAUCAUGACAGUCAGUUUUCGGCUUUCUCUACUGAGGUGCUCGCCCAGCCGAACUGGGGCACAAUCGCAGUAGUUCUCCUGGUGCUGCGUUAGCCGAUGAUACGGAACGUAAGGCAGCAAAACACAGGAGCCGGCCAAACCCAAUAUUUGACCAAAGACAUGAUUCGGAGCUGAUGCAUAUAAUGCCUAACUCGAGACGCUGAACACUCCCUAAGGUGUUCGGUCUUUAUAAUAAUGGGCAGAACAAUGCCCUAAGCCCCUAGUGUCCAGGUACGGGCAUGGUCCUCUGACGCGGCCGAUGCCAAAAUGUCAAGCUCCGCUUUGGUUAUAAGAAGAAACCAAGGGAGAAUAACAACAAGAGAUAGUAAAAAAAGGUUUACGCAGGGUCUUAAUCUGAAAAGAAUCCUCGCGACGGGUCCCUACUGCAUGUCUGCGCCUGUGUCUCCAUUGUGCCGUUAUCCUGGACGGGUGUGCACGUUGUUCAUCUGUAAAAAGAGAGGAACUUAGUUUGAAAAGAACUCGUGCGAAAAAAGUAUAUGUGAAAGAAGAAAUAUAAAUAAGUAAAGCGGGGUCUGUAUGAACUCGCUGUUGUUUGUGCGCGCAGCCCCUUGUGAAGGGAUGUGCGGCUAGGGAGCCCCUAGCUUACUUAUGCCGGACUCGUCUAUCCGUGUCCGGGGUCUUUAGGUGACCCUCGCACUGAAAUGAUGCCACGUGGACCGGGCAUCUUGAGUGUAAGAGACACGUAAUGUGGUAUGGCAUUGAAACGGACAAAAGCCUCUCGUCCCAAGAGUGCUUGAUAUCCACUUUUGAAUGGGACGAUAUGAAAGAUUAGUUUUUCGCGUCGAAAGUUGUUCGGUGAUCCGAACACAACUUCUAGUAAUAGGGAGCCUGUGCACUUGGCAUAAGGGCCUGGCGUCACUCCUUUGAAGGAAGUGCGGCUGUGUCGAAUUUUAGUAGGGUCUAUCCCCAACUUGCGGAUUGUGUUUGGAUACAGCAGGUUUAAGUCGCUGCCUCCGUCCAUCAGGACUUGAGUAAAUUGUAGUCCGUCGAUUAUAGGAUCCAAUAUCAGGGCAGUCCAUCCUGCGUUUCGAACGCUUCUGGAAUAAUCCAGGUGGUCGAAAGUGAUUGGUUUUGAUAUCCAAUCUCUAUGGUCUGCUGGGUUGGACCGUGUGAGGCUCCUUUUAGAGGGUGCCGCACUAUUUUUCCGUAUUAUCACAUGAAGUGAGUUUACUGCUUUGACCUCUUGUGGGAAAGUCUUUUGCUUUCCGGUGCUCUGCUGGUGGGGUUUAUCGUCUUCGCUUGACGCGUCGAGCCCCUUGUGUUCGGCGUUUAGUCGGCCGGACUGUUUGAAAACCCAACAAUCUCGAUGGGUGUGGUUUGCAGGCCUUCCGGGGGUACUGUGGAUUUGAUAUAUCCGACCCAAAAUCUUGUUUAAGUUGGAUAGCUCAUUGCUAUCAUCCUUAAGAGGCGGUGUUUUGUUGUUUGGCCGCGAGCUUUUGAAUCCGGCGUUGACUGCCGUGCUCUUUGGGCUUUUCUCUUUAUUCCGACGCUGCUCUUCUCUGCGCCGUGAUUUUCCGUUUCCAUCUCUUAUCUCGGAUGUACUUGGGUCGCUGGUGCUGGAUCUUGCUAGCCAGCUAUCCUCUCCCGCACAGAAGCGGGUCAUGAGGCUUGUUAGCGUGGACAUUGUCCUCGGUUUCUCUUGGCCGAGGUGUCUGGCAAGCCAUUCAUCUCGGACGUUGUGUUUAAAAGCUGCUAAGGCUUCGGCGUCCGGACAGUCGACUAUUUGGUUCUUUUUGGUGAGGAACUUGUUCCAGAAUUUGCGCGCUGACUCUCCGGGCUGUUGAGUUAUAUGACUUAGAUCAUCUGCAUCCGGAGGGCGGACAUAAGUCCCUUGAAAAUUUUCUCUAAACGCGUCCUCGAGCUCUUCCCAACUUCCAACAGUGUUUUCUGGGAGGCUUUUAAGCCAAUGACGGGCUGGCCCUUUGAGCUUGAGGGGUAGGUAUUUUAUGGCGUGGAGAUCAUCUCCUCUGGCCAUGUGUACGUGUAGUAUAUAAUCUUCUAUCCAGACUCCAGGGUCUGUUGUUCCAUCGUAGGCCUCUAUGUUUAUGGGUUUAAAUCCUGCUGGGAAUUCAUGGUCCAGCACCUCAUUGGUGAAACAUAGUGGGUGUGCGGCGCCCCUGUAUUUGGGUGUGCCACUAUCUUUGGACACUUGACGUGUUGCAUUGGUUCCUGGGGCCUUCUUCUUUGGCCCGUAAAUGGACCUGGCUGGGCCAUCUGUCUUUCCAGGUUCAUUAGUCGGUUUAUGUGUGGCGCCGCUUUAAUUUGGCCUAUCAUCUGGCCGUCUAUCCAACCAGGCAGCCUCUUUAUUUUUUGACUGUGGGGGCUCUAUGGCCUCCUCGUCAAAUUCUGGCAGCAGCUUGCGCUUCAGGUAGCUCUUUGAUUGGUGGCCAUUGCCGUAUUUAUCCGCGGUUUUGAGCACUUUGCUCCACCUCAUUCUGAGUGUGUCUUCCGCUGUUUUGAGCUUCCGUUUUUCCUUCUUCAAGCUUCUUGCGGUGUUGACGAGUCUUUUCCGAAGGUUUUUACUCUCCGGCGGCGUGUCCGGCAUGAGGUCGUCCGGACUGUUGUUUUCGCCGGGCCUGGACUGAUUAUCUGACUCGUCCUGUUCGGACGGUUGCUUAUCUGCAUGUUCGUCGUCCACUUGUGUGCCCUGCUGUAUUGCGGGGUCAUUAGGAGCGUUGUUGUUGUCGAGGCGGGACUUAGGGCGGCGUCUGCGCCACCGUUUUGGUUGUUUGUCGGCGGGGUUAUCUUCUGCCGUGGCCCGUUGGUCCUCGUUAUCGCUCUCCUUUGGGGUAUCCACCAUAUAUACGUCGUAUGACGAGGUGGUCCUCCCAUGCGCUAUAGGCAUUGGUUCUUGUUCUCCUCCGGCAUCGUCGUCCAUACCGUCGAUGUCUUCAGAGUCAUAGUCUAGCAUGUCGGUUGGAUAGUCGACAGUGGCUACAAAGUGGGUGGUGGGUGGGCUCUGAAUUUCUUCGUCGUCCUUAUCCCAACCAUCCUGGCCAUAGUCCGGCCAGGACUCUCCUGAUAGCGAGAGAUGCUUUAGCGAAUUUAGGAUGUCACCAAAGGGCGAGUGUUGGAAGAUGUCCGUGGCGGUGAAUUCCAUAACCGGCGCCCAAUCAGAUUCGAUUGAUAGGGGCGGGGGAGGUCCGGAGUCCGGCACCUCGGAAUCACGAGUUUCGCGAGGGACAAGGUUAGUGUUCGGCUCCAUCGCCGUGGAAGUUGAAGCCCCCGAGGUGGCGUCCAUCCACCGGUCCUCGAUCUGGGCGAUCGGCUCCGGACUAAGGGCCGAAGCGGAUUCGAGUGCGGCCACCAAGGCACUGUUCGGCGGCAGAGCUAGUUUAUGCCCAUCGUAACAGUGUGGCGCGCUUGGCUGUGGCUCGAGCCCGUCAAAGAUCAAGUCUCCGUGGACGUCGGCCGUGAAGUUUAGAUUUCCGAAUCUGACCUGACAGCCAGGGGCGUAGCUUUCGAUCUGCUCCAGAUGGCCAAGCGAAUUAGCCCGCAGUGCGAAGCCGCCGAAUACGAAGAUCUGUCCGGGGAGAAAAGUCUCACCCUGGACAGUGUUGUUGGUUGAAGAUGCCAUCGAGCCUAUCGGUGACGACACAGAGGAACUCUUAAUGAAAGCACUAAUGUCGGUGUCAAAACCGGUGGAUCUCGGGUAGGGGGUCCCGAACUGUGCGUCUAGGCGGAUGGUAACAGGAGACAAGGAACACGAUGUUUUACCCAGGUUCGGGCCCUCUCGAUGGAGGUAAAACCCUACGUCCUGCUUGAUUAAUAUUGAUGAUAUGGGUAGUACAAGAGUGGAUCUACCACGAGAUCAAGGAGGCUAAACCCUAAAGCUAGCCUAUGGUAUGAUUAUUGUAAUGUGUGUUGUCCUACGGACUAAAGCCCUCCGGUUUAUAUAGACACCGGAGGAGGCUAGGGUUACACAGAUUCGGUUACAAUGGUAGGAGAUCUACAUAUCCGUAUUGCCAAGCUUGCCUUGCACGCCAAGGAAAGUCCCAUCCGGACACGGGACGGAGUCUUCAAUCUUGUAUCUUCGUAGUCUUGGAGUCCGGCGGACGAUGAUAGUCCGGCUGUCCGGACACCCCCUAGUCCAGGACUCCCUCACUUGUCCUCAAGUGGAAGCCGAAAUCGAAAAAUAUUUCCACAUGUUUAGAGAUAGAGGUAUCGAUAAAAAAAUUAAAAUACGGACAUGAGGGCAUCAUGAUCAUUCUUAUAACAACAACAUAUAUAGAUUUUGUCAUAUGGUUUCUUAUGCUCAAGUAACAACCGAUUCACAAUGUCAAGCAUGGAACAUAAACUUCAUUAAGAACUAGCAAACUAUAAUCUCAGUCAUUGAAGCAAUUGCAAUUUAUCAUAACUUCAGAAAGAGUCAAGAAUAGAGCCUUUCAGCAAGUCCACAUACUCAACUAUCAUAUAGUCUUCUACAAUUGCUAACACUCACGCAAUACUUGUGGUUAUGGAGUUUCAACCGGACACUAAGAAAGAUAGGGGCUUAUUGUGUUGCCUCCCAACGUAUUCACCUUUGGGUGAUGUCAACAAUAAUAAUUCAUGCUAACUUACAUCCAAUUGGGCUUGGAGGAUCUUUCAAACACGAGGAGCUUGCCAAAGGGUAAAAUGAAAAAGGGAAAGGUGAAGAUCACCUUGACUCAAGCAUAAAGUAAAAACAUAAAGUAAAAGAUAGGCCCUUCUCAGAGGGAAGCAGAGGUUUUCAUGUGCUUUUAGGGUUGGAUGCACAAAAUCUUAAUGCAAAAGAACGUCACUUUAUAUUGCCACUUGUGAUAUGAACCUUUAUUAUGCAGUCCGUCGCUUUUAUUACUUCCAUAUCACACGAUCGUAUAAAGCUUAUUUUCUCUGCACUAAUAAGUCAUACAUAUUUAGAGAGCAAUUUUUAUUUCUUGCAACAUGACAACUUGAAGGAUCUUACUCAAUCCAUAGGUAGGUAUGGUGGACUCUCAUGGCAAAACUGGGUUUAAGGAUAUUUGGAAGCACAAGUAGUAUCUAUACUUGGUGCAAGGAAUUUUGGCUAGCAUGAGGGGGAAAGGCAAGCUCAACAUGUUGGGAAGAUCAAUGACAAUAUUCUUUAACUGAGAUGUGAGAAAACAUAAACCAUUACGUUGUCUUCCUUGUCCAACAUUAACUCUUUUAGCAUGUCAUACUUAAUGAGUGCUCACAAUCAUAAAAGAUGUCCAAGAUAGUAUAUUUGUAUGUGAAAACCUCUCUUUCCUUAUUACUUCCUAUUAAUUGCAACGAUGACCAAAACUAUGUUUGUCAACUCUCAACAACUUUUAUGCCUCAUACUUUUAUGUGUGAAGUUGUUACUAUCCACAAGAUCAAUAUGAACUCUUUUAUUAUUUUUAUUCUUUCUACUAUCUCGAGAUCAUAGCAAGAUAGCAAAGCCCUUGACUCAACACUAAACUUUAUUAUAGAUAGCUCACGGACUCGAUUACAAAAAGAGAUCACAAAGCAAAACUCAAAACUAAUUCAUACUAAAGCUUCAAUCUACUAGAUCAAGAUAUUACUAAAAGGAUCGAACUAAGUAAAACGGUAAAGAUAGGGGUGUGAUGGUGAUACGAUACCGGGACACCUCCCCCAAGCUUGGCAGUUGCCAAGGGGAGUGACCAUACCCAUGUGGUUAUGUCCUCGGAGGUGGUGAAGUAGGAUUUGUUGAUGAUGUAGGCUUGUCGUCCAUCUUCCAAGGCAUAGGCUCACCAUCAUAGAAGGAUGAUCGAGUGUCCGGGACCUCAAAUCUGCAGCCAAACUCAUCCUCUUGAGUCUAUAUUCAUACUCACAGUUUUUGUUUUGCAGGUCAUAGAUCUGGGCUUGGAGGUGCUCGAUUUUCUGUUGAAGCUUAAAGAUGGUGUCCCCAAUGAUCUUGGCAUCCAGCUUGUGGUUGUUGGUGAACUCCGUGAUCAUCAUCUGGUUGGUGUUGAGUCCACGCUCCACCAUCCCUUGGCACUUGAAAACUUGUUGCUCCAUGGCUUCGAGCUUUGUCUCCACGCUUCCGGUACGCCUUGGUCCCUCCACAUCGCAGAUGUGCAGCACCCCCUCACGCAUCGCAAUUGUUUGAGGGUGUUGCAGCACCUCCGCGAGAUAGGGGUUGAUAACCCUCUUGAAAAUCUUGUCCUUGGGAGCGCUUGGAGAUGUCAUGGUGCUUUAGAUCUGUCAGAAAAAUAGCUCAAAAUGAAAACAGAGGAUAUUUGCGUGAUACGGUGGUCAAAACUGUCAGGAGAUUAUAUAAUGAAUUUUUACCGACCAAAAUAUGUAACAUGCAAGAAAACGGAGUCCGGGAGGCACACGAGGUGGACACGAGACAGGGGGGCGUGCCCAGGAAGGGUGGGCGCGCCCUCCACCCUCGUGGAGGCCUCGUGUCCUUCCCGGAUUACUUCUUUCUUUCCAAAAUUCUUAAAUAUUCCAAAACGGAGGAAAAUCGCCUUUCGAAUUGUUUUGGAGUCAGUUUACAUACUGUACCACAUACCUAUUCCUUUUCGGAGUCUGAAACUUUUUGGAAAGUGUCCCUUAUGUAUUCGUCUGGGGUUAUGGUCUAAAUAAUAUUAGUUUCAACUUUGAUAGGAUUACCUGAAAUAUAAUGUUUGAUUCUUUGACCGUUCACCACCCUCGGACUUGUGCCUUCGAAGUUGUUGAUUUUUAUGGCACCGGAAUGAUAGACCUCCUCGAUAACGUAAGGACCUUCCCAUUUAGAGAGAAGUUUUCCUGCAAAAAAUCUUAAACGAGAGUUGAAUAAUAACACAUAAUCACCUACGUUAAAUUCACGCUUUUGUAUCCUUUUGUCAUGCCAAUGUUUAACUUUUUCUUUGAAUAGCUUAGCAUUCUCGUAGGUUUGGGUUCUCGAUUCAUCAAGUGAGCUAAUAUAAAAUAACCUCUUCUCACCGGCAAGUUUGAAGUCAUAAUUGAGCUCUUUAAUAGCCCAAUACGCUUUAUGUUCAAGUUCAAGAGGUAAGUGACAUGCUUUUCCAUAAACCAUCUUAUACGGAGACAUACCCAUAGGAUUUUUAUACGCAAUUCUAUAGGCCCAUAAUGCAUCAAGUUUCUUGGACCAAUUUUUUCUAGAUCUAUUCACAGACUUUUGCAAGAUUAUUUUGAGCUCUCUAUUGCUCAACUCUACUUGACCACUAGACCGCGGGUGACAGGGAGAUGCAAUUAUAUGAUUAACAUCAUACUUAGCAAGCAUCUUACGGAAAGCACCAUGAAUAAAAUGUGAACCACCAUCAGUCAUAAGAUAUCUAGGGACUCCAAACCUCGGAAAAAUAACUUCUUUAAGCAUUUUAAUAGAGGUGUUAUGAUCAGUACUACUAGUUGGAAUAGAUUCUACCCACUUAGUAACGUAAUCAACAGCAACUAAAAUAUGUGUGUAACCAUUAGAGGCAGGAAAAAGUCCCAUAUAAUCAAAGCCCCAAACAUCAAAUGGUUCAAUAACAAGAGAAUAAUUCAAAGGCAUUUCUUGAAGUCUACUAAUAUUACAAUUCUUUGACAUUCAUCACAAGACAAGACAAACUUACGAGCAUCUUUGAAGAGAGUAGGCCAAUAAAAACCGGAUUGCAAUACCUUAUGUGCAGGUCUAUCUCCAGCGUGGUGUCCUCCAUACGAUUCAGAGUGACACUUGCGUAGGAUCUGUUCUUGUUCAUGCUCAGGUACACAACGCCUAAUAACACCAUCUACUCCUUCUUUAUAAAGGUGUGGGUCAUCCUAGAAGUAAUGUCUUAAAUCAUAAAAGAACUUUUUCUUUUGCUGGUAUGUGAAACUAGGUGGUAUAAAUUUAGCAACAAUGUAAUUAGCAUAAUCAGCAUACGAAGGAGCAGAACGAGAAGCAUUAACGACCACUAAUUGUUCAUCAGGAAAGCUAUCAUCAAUAGGUAGUGGGUCAUCAAGAACAUUCUCUAGCCUAGACAAGUUGUCUGCAACGGGGUUCUCAGCUCCCUUUCUAUCAAUAAUAUGCAAAUCAAAUUCUUGGAGCAAGAGAACCCAUCUAAUGAGUCUAGGCUUUGCAUCUUUCUUUUCCAUAAGAUAUUUAAUAGCAACAUGAUCAGUGUGAAUAGUAACUUUAGAAUCAACAAUAUAAGGUCUGAACUUAUCACAAGCAAAUACGACUGCUAAGAACUCCUUUUCAGUAGUAGCAUAAUUUCUCUGGGCAGUAUCAACAGUUUUACUAGCAUACUCGAUAACAUUCAAUUCCUUAUCGACUCUUUGCCCUAGAACAGCACCUACAUCAUAAUCACUAGCAUCACACAUAAUUUCAAAAGGUAAAUUCCAAUUAGGAGGCUGAACAAUUGGUGCAGUGAUCAAAGCUUUCUUAAGUAUUUCAAAUGCUUCUACACAAUCAUCAUCAAAGACAAAAGGAAUAUCUUUUUGCAAUAAAUUAGUCAGAGGCCUAGAGAUUUUAGAAAAGUCCUUAAUGAACCUCCUAUAAAAACCGGCAUGACCAAGGAAACUUCUUAUACCUUUUAUGUCCUUGGGACAUGGCAUCUUUUCAAUAGCAUCAACUUUAGCUUUAUCAACUUUAAUGCCCCUCUCAGAAAUCUUAUGCCCCAAGACAAUGCCUUCAUUAACCAUAAAGUGGCACUUCUCGCAAUUCAAGACGAGACUAGUGUCUUCGCAACUCUGCAAAACUCGAUCAAGGUUGCUCAAGCAAUCAUCAAAAUAGGAUCCAUAAACGGAGAAAUCAUCCAUGAAUUCCUCACAAAUCUUUUCACAAAAGUCAGAGAAUAUAGCCGUCAUACAUCUUUGAAAGGUAGCAGGUGCAUUACAUAAACCAAAAGGCAUACGUCUAUAAGCAAAAGAACCGAAAGGGCAAGUAAAAGUAGUUUUUGAUUGAUCCUCCGCUGACACAGGUAUUUGAGAGAAACCAGAAUAACCAUCUAGAAAGCAGAAAUGUGUGUGUUUGGAUAGUCUUUCUAGCAUUUGAUCAAUAAAAGGUAAAGGGUAAUGAUCUUUCUUAGUAGCUUUAUUUAAUUUACGGAAAUCAAUUACCAUCCUAUAACCUGUGAUAAUUCUUUGCGGGAUCAAUUCAUCUUUAUCAUUAGGAAUGACAGUAAUACCUCCCUUUUUAGGAACACAAUGGACAUGACUUACCCAUUCACUAUCAGCAACGGGAUAAAUUAUACCUGCCUCAAGGAGCUUUAGUAUCUCCUUUCUUACCACUUCUUUCAUCUUAGGAUUUAAUCAUCGUUGAGGAUCUCUAACUGGGUUGGCAUCUUUCUCCACUUUAAUUUUGUGUUGGCAUAGAGUGGGACUAAUGCCCUUAAGAUCAUCCAGAGUAUAUCCAAUAGCAGCACGAUGCUUCUUCAGAGUUUUCAAUAAUCUUUCUUCUUCUUGCUCUGAAAGGUUAGCACUAAUAAUAACAGGAUAUAUAUUCUUUUCAUCAAGAUAAGCAUACUUAAGAUUAUCAGGUAAUGGUUUGAGCUCAAACAUGGGAUCACCCUUGGGUGGAGGGGGAUCCCCUAGGAUUUGAAUAGGCAAGUUGUGUUUCAGCAUAGGACCCUGUUGAAGGAACACUUCAUCUAUUUCCCUUCUUUCAUUCAUAAACAUAUCAUUUUCAUGGUCUAGCAAAUAUUGUUCUAACAGAUCAGUAGGAGGCACGACAAUAGAAUCAAGACCAAUAAUCUCAUCCUUACUAGGUGAUUCUUUAUCACGGGGUUGUCUACGAAACUUAGUCAUCUUGUGGGGAACCAAGAACAAGAAAAUCAGCAGGAUAUUUAACCUUCCCACACAAGACUUCAACAUCUCUAACAAUCCCAACUGGCUUAAUGGUGUCCCUAUUGGCAAGCUUAAUAGUAUCAUCUAUAUCUUCUAUUUCAGCGGGUGCAAUAUCAUGCAUAAUUUCUUUAUAUAUGUCAUAGGGUAUUGCACUAGCACUAGCACCCAUAUCACAUAAGCCAUGAUAACAAUGAUCUCCUAUUUUAACAGAAAUAACAGGCAUGCCUACAGCCGGUCUAUGUAUCUUAGCAUCUGGUCUAGCAAUGUUAGCAGUCUGUUCACAGAAGUAAAUAACAUGACCAUCUAUAUUAUCAUCCAAGAGAUCUUUAACCAUAGCAAUACUAGGUUCAACUUUGAUUUUCUCAGGAGGUGUAUAAGUUCUAGUAUUACUCUUACGAACAACAGUUGAAGUUUUAGCAUGAUCCUUUAUCCUAACAGGAAAAGGUGGUUUCUCAACAUAACUAGUAGGAACAAUUGGAUCAUUAUAAGUGAUAGUCUUUUCUUCAACUGUAAUAGGUGCAAUUACUUUUACUUCAACGGGAGGAUUAUAUUUAAACCACUUCUCCUUAGGGAGAUCAACAUGAGUAGCAAAAGAUUCACAAAAAGCAGCUACUAUCUCAGAGUCAAGUCCAUACUUAGCGCUAAAUCCACGAAAAGCAUCGGUAUCCAUAAAAGAUUUAACACAAUCAAACUUAGGUAUUAUACCUGACUCCUUACCAUCAUCGGAACCCCAAUCUUCAGAGUUGCAUUUAAUUCUUUCCAAUAAAUCCCACUUGAAUUCAGUAGUCUUCAGCAUAUAAGAACCAACACAGGAAGUAUCAAGCAUGGUGCGAUCAUUGAGAGAAAGCCGAGCAUAAUUUUUUUGAAUAAUCAUUUCUCUUGAGAGAUCAUGAUUGGGGCAUGAAUAUAACAUUGACUUAAGCCUCCGCAAGCUUGAGCGAUGCUUUCUCCUUCAUGAGGCCAGAAAUUAUAUAUGUAAUUAUGAUCACGAUGAACAAGGUGCAUAGGAUAGAACUUCUGGUGAAAUUCCAACUUCAAUCGUUUAUAAUUCCAAGACCCCGUAUCAUCACAUAGCCUAUACCAUGUCAAUGCAUCACCCUUCAAAGAUAAAGGGAAGACCUUCCUUUUGACAACAUCAUCGGGAAUACUUGCAAGCUUAAAUAAUCCACAAAUUUCAUCCACAAAGAUAAGGUGUAAAUCGGGAUGCAACGUUCCAUCUCCUGCAAAGGGAUUAGCUAGCAGUUUCUGUAUCAUACCCGAAGGAAUCUCAAAGUAAACAUUUUCAGUAGGUUCAGUAGGUUGAAGAGAAACUCUUUGCUCUACUGGUCGGGGUGAAGAUACCCCAAACAACCCCCUCAAAGGAUUAGUUUCCAUAGUAACAAGUGACAGAAAAUUUCAGCACACUAUAUAAAUGUUUCCUUACCAACUUCCACUCACCAAAGGCGCUUCACUCCCCGGCAACGACGCUAGAGAAGAGUUUUGAUGAUCCACAAGUAUAGGGGAUCUAUCGUAGUCCUUUCAGUAAGUAAGAGUGUCGAACCCAACGAGGAGCAGAAGGAAAUGACAAGCGGUUUUCAGUAAGGUUUUCUCUGCAAGCACUGAAAUUGUAGGUAACAAAUAGUUUUGUGAUAAGAUAAUUUGUAACGGGUAACAAGCAAUGAAAGUAAAUAAAGUGCAGCAAGGUGGCCCAAUCCUUUUUGUAGCAAUGGACAGGCCUGGACAAUUUCUUAUAAUGAGAAAAGCGCUCCCAAGGACACAUGGGAAUUAUCAUCAAGCUAGUUUUCAUCACGCUCAUAUGAGUCGCGGUACUUCGAUAAUUUGAUAUGUGGGUGGACCGGUGCUUGGGUACUGCCCUUACUUGGACAAGAAUCCCACUUAUGAUUAACCCCUAUUGCAAGCAUCCGCAACUACAAAAGAAGUAUUAAGGUAAACCUAACCACAGCAUUAGACAUAUGGAUCCAAAUCAGCCCCUUACGAAGCAAUGCAUAAACUCGGGUUUAAGCUUCUGUCACUCUAGCAACCCAUCAUCUACUUAUUACUUCCCAAUGCCUUCCUCUAGGCCCAAAUAAUGGUGAAGUGUCAUGAAGUCGACGUUCACAUAACACCACUAGAGGAGAGACAACAUACAUCUCAUCAAAAUAUCGAAUGAAUACCAAAUUCACAUGACUACUAAUAGCAAGACUUCACCCAUGUCCUCAGGAACAAACGUAACUACUCACAAAGCAUAUGCAUGUUCAAAAUCAGAGGAGUAUUAAUAUGCAUUAAGGAUCUGAACAUAUGAUCUUCCACCAAGUAAACCAAUUAGCAUCAACUACAAGGAGUAAUCAACACUACUAGCAACCCACAGGUACCAAUUUGUGGUUUUGAUACAAGAUUGGAUACAAGAGAUGAACUAGGGUUUUGAGAGGAGAUGGUGCUGGUGAAGAUGUUGAUGGAGAUUGACCCCCUCCUGAUGAGAGGAUCGUUGGUGAUGACGAUGGUGAUGAUUUCCCCCUUCCCGAUGGAAGUUUCCCCGGCAGAACAGCUCCGCCGGAGCCCUAGAUUGGUUCCGCCAAGGUUCCGCCUCGUGGCGGCGGAGUUUCGUCCCGUAAGCUUGCUUAUGAUUUUUUUCCAGGGUAAAAGCCUUCAUAUAGCAGAAGAUGGGCACCGGAGGGCCACCAGUGGGCCCAAGAGACAGGGGGGCGUGCCCAGUAGGGGUGGGUGCGCUCCCCACCCUCUUGGCCAGGGUGUGGGCCCCCUCUGAUGUUUUCUUCGCUCAAUAAAUCUUAUUAAUUCCAAAAAUAAGUUCUGUGGAGUUUCAGGAUUUUCGGAGCUGUGUAGAAUAGGUUUCCAAUAUUUGCUCCUUUUCCAGCUAGAAUUCCAGCUGCCGGCAUUCCCCCUCUUCAUGGUAAACCUUGUAAAAUAAGAGAGAAUACCCAUAAGUAUUGAGACAUAAUGUGUAAUAACAGCCCAUACUGCAAUAAAUAUUUAUAUAAAAGCAUGAUGCAAAAUGGACGUAUCAGAGCAGCUUGACGGAUUAGUGGUAUUUGACGAACGUCUUCCCAAGGAGGAUGGAAUGCGAAUAACUUGGCGAACCGGGUAUGGAUCUUUUGAUAGUUAAACCAUUUAGUCACCCAGUGUCUUCGAAUCCAUUGAUGGCAACAUUCUCUUUUAGCCUUUGUUGCACUAGGCUUGGUAUUGUAUUCAUCAUGAGAUAUCAUCUCAGCCAAGUUUUGGAUCGGUUUUCUGCUACCUUUUCUUUUCUUCGGAAGCUCUUGAUUUAGCUCGCUUGGCUCUCCUUCAUCACACUUUCUCUUUGCAGGCCCUACCGUUGGGGCCUUUGCAUUAGGUGCCUUGGAUUCAUCUCCUAUGCCCAGCACAAUAUCAUCGCCUUCAGCUCGAAUAGUUGGAUGAGCUGAAUCUACCAUAGACUACAUGUACCUGGGAACAAGAUAUAAAUGCGAGGAAAAAAAAUCGAGUUACAAAUGCACACAGUGUUUUUUGAAGAGAAUGACUUUUCCAUCGAAAGGGGAUCUGGGAUUUUGAGAGAUGCGAGGAACAACUACACACCACAUCUGUAAAGGUUUCUAAACCUAACAGAUCUAAAAAUACAGUGGUAAUUCAUGCAAAAAACUACGGCGGUAGAACUCCAACGGCUUGGAUGGAAGGUCGAGUUCGUGUUGCUCAUAUCCUAGCUUGGUGAUGUGCAGCGACUAGGGCGACGCGGAGAAGGAGAUGGGCCGCAGCGGCUUUGGAUGACUCCGAUGUCCACUCUCCAGCAGCGAAGCGGUGGAGCAGGUGAUGGCGUCGAUGAGCUCGAUGGUGUGUAGUACGGAAAGCUUUCGCGAGAGGGAGGAAGGAGGCGAGUGAAUGGCAUCGAUAUGGUUGAGACAAAUUUUAUAGAGGGGGCGUAGAUCAGAUUGGACGGCCAUGAAAGCCAGAUGGUUCCCAUUCAAUGGUGAGAGAAAUCGAGUAGUUGUACUGAGGCAUGUGGCUACCAUCAAAAGAACGUGGUCCUCCUUAAGGCGGGAAAACCUAAAUUUGGACAGCAUACGCCAAAAAGAUAAAGUUCGGUCCGAGCCUUUUCCGUGAACAAGGAUAUCAGGAAAGCUUUUGGAACCAGAUAAAGGUUGUGCAUUCAUAACAGAGUUGCGAGAAGACCAAAUGGAACCAGAGUCAAACAACUCGAAGAGAAACUCCAUAAACACCAGCUCAAAUGAAAAUCAAUGGAUGAAGAAAAAUGGUGGUGGCAUUACCCACCGUAUAAGAACUGUAUGACCCUGAGCAUCGCACAAUUAUCGUGGCACCUGGUUAGUCUAGUUCUUCGUUAAUGUAUUCACUCUCCGAAAGAAAAUUUCACUUUGUUGAAUUUUUCAAACUCGUCGAGUGUUGUGCACCCAUUCCUUCAUAGAUGUGGAAGUGUUGGCCUGGGUGCCGAGUCCAGCUUACUGCAUGUUUGCGGAGUCCAAGAUAUUUAGCUCACACCAUAAUGCAUGGAAUCUUUUCUCAUCGAGAGGCUCGGUGAAAAUAUCUGCAAGAUUGUCUUCUGUCUUGACGUGCUCAAUAACAAUAUCCUCUCGAGCAACAUGAUCACGAAUGAAAUGAUACCUGACUUGAAUGUGCUUGCUACGAGAAUGCUGAACUGGAUUUUUAGCAAUCUUGAUCGCACUCUCAUUGUCAUAGAGGAGAGGGAUAUUCCUGACCUUGAUGCCAAAAUCCUUCAGUGUCUGCUUCAUCCAUAGUAACUGAAUACAACAAGCACCGGCAACAAUAUAUUUGGCCUCAGCCAUAGACAAUGAAACACAGUUUUGCUUCCUUGAAACCAACACACAAAAGAUCUACCGAGGAAAUGGCAUUUACCCGAAGUAGAUUUCCUGUCCACACGGUCACCUGCACAAUCUGAGUCUAAAUAGCCAAUGAGAUCAAACUGUGCUCCCUUAGGAUACCAUAAACCUAAGGUGGGGGUGUGAGCCAAAUAUCUCAGAAUAUGCUUGACCGCUUUGUGAUGUGAUUCCUUUGGUGCAGCUUGGAAAUGAGCACACAUGUAGACACUCAACAUGAUAUUAGGUCUGGAUGCACAUAUGUAAAUCAAAGAUCCAAUCAUCGAGCGAUAAGUUUUCUGAUAAAAAUCUUUACCAAACACAUUGGAAUCAAGUUGACCAUUUAUGGGCAUUGGACUUUUGUAGCCCUUCUGAUUGCAGUCCCGCAUUUUAAACUUCUUCAGGCAAUCUCAAAUAUAUUUAUCCUGAGAGAAGAAUGUGCCAUUUUCCUGUUGACGAAUUUGGAGUCCGAGGAAAAACUUGAGUUCCCCCAUCAUGGACAUUUGAUAUUUUUCGGACAUCAUUCAUCCAAACUCCAUGCUGCAAGCAUUGUUAGUACAACCAAAUAUGAUAUCGUCCACAUAUAUUUGACACAUGAAUGAAACACCAUCAACAAUGCGUGUGAAUAGAGUGGAGUUCGUGGUCCUGGCUUGAAUCCCUUAUCGAGCAAAAACUUCUUCAGGGUGUCAUACCAAGCACGAGGGGCUUGUUUGAGACCAUAAAGAGAUUUCUUCAACCUGAAAACUUUGUUAGGGAAUUGAGGGUGUUCAAAGCUAGGUGGAUGUCUAGUAUAAACUUCCUCUUCAAUCACACCAAUUAGAAAAGCACUUUUCACAUCCAUUUGGUAAAGCAAGAUAUUGUUGUAGUUUGCAUAGGCGAGCAAAAUACGAAUUGCCUCAAGGCAUGGAACAGGAGCAUAAGUUUCUCGAAAAUCAAUACCAGCUACUUGUGUGUGCCCUUGAGCAACCAAACUAGCUUUGUUUCUCACCACAAUGCCAUCUUCAUCCUGCUUGUUGCAGAAAAUCCACUUUGUGCCAAUAAUAUUGUGCUUCUUGGGGUUAGGUCGAUCGACCAAUUCCCACACAUCAUUUAGUUCAAAUUGCACCAACUCCUCUUGCAUGGCAUUCAUCUAAUCUGGAUCAUUCAUGGCAUCUUUGUAUCUUGUGGGUUCUGGAAGAGUGGCGAAGGACAAACUGGCACAAUGGUUAGCCAAACGAGUGAGUGAACGAGUUGUUGGUCGAUGACCUGAAUUCUCGAGAUCUUCGAGAAUAAGAUUUGUAUCAACUCGAUUUGCUACUUGAGGAAGAACGUGGACAUUUGCAUCAGUUUCUUCAUUUUCCUCGGCUUCUUCAUCAGGAUUGGUAUUUUAGAUCGCCAUUUGCAUUCUGGGUCGGAGGAGCAUCAGGAGUAGCAUUGUCUUGCCGUGUUCUUCGUUGAAUGACUGGAGCAUCUUCAUUGGAAGAAUCAUGAGUAUCUUCAUCAGAAGAAUCAUGAGCAUUUACCUCGACGGGUCGGACAUCCCCGAUGGCCAUUUGCUAGAUUGCUUCCAAGACGGAUGGUUCAUCUAUCACAUUUGGCAGGUGCUCCUUUUGGGAACUGUUAGAUUCGCUGAACCGCACAUUUACCGUUUCCAUAACUUUCCCAUGAUGAGAAUUAUAGACCUGAUAAGUAUGCGAGUUCAAGCCAUAACCAAGAAGAAAACCUUCGAGUGCUUUGGGUGCAAACUUAGAACCGUGAUUCAUAUCACGAAUAUAACAGGGUGCACCAAAAACACGCAUAUAAGAAACAUUCCAUAUCUUGCCAGUGAUAAGCUCAUAACAAGUUUCCUUCAGGAACUUGUGAAGAUAAACACGAUUCAUAACAUGGCAGGCAGUGUUAAUAGCUUCAACCCAAAAGUGAAUGGGAGUUUUGUACUCACUGAGCAUUGUUCGAGCCAUUUCAAUGAGAGUUCUAUUCUUUCGCUCAACAACUCCAUUCUGUUGGGGAGUAUAGGCAGUAGAGGACUCAUGAGUAAUACCAUGCUCGUCGGGGAAUUCUCAAUAUGAGUAUUUUUGAACUCAGUGCCAUUAUCACUUCGGACAUGCUUAAUGUGCACAUCAUAUUCAUUCUGGGCCUUCUUGGUGAAUCUUUUGAAGAUGUCUUGGGUACAUGUUUUGUCUUCGAGAAAGAAUACCCAAGUAUACAGAGAGAUAUCAUCAACAAUAACCAGACCAUAAUGACUGCCACCGAAGAUGGAGUAGUUCUGUGGCCCGAAAAAUCCAUAUGACGAAUUUCCAGAGGCCUUGUAGUAGUCAUGAUAGUUUUUGAUGAGUGAUGCUUCUUGGCCAAUUUUCCUGCCUCACAAGCACUACAAAGACGAUCCUUGUUUAAUUUCACCUCGGGAAUACCACACAGAUGAUUUUUCUUCACAAGAGUCUGCAAGUUCCUCACACCCGCAUGGCCAAGUCUGUGGUGCCACAGCCAACCCUUAGUUGCUUUAGCUAGCAAGCAAGUUUGGACUAUGGGACCCUUAGAGAAAUCCACAAUAUACAAAUCACCCUUUCUAAUUCCCUUGAAAACGAAGGAAUUGUCAGAAGCCAUAAACACAAUGCACUUGGAGAUUGAAAAUAGAACAAGCGUGCCAAGAUCACAUAGUUUACCAGCUGACAUGAUGUUGAAUCCAAGAGACUGAACAAGUAACAUCAUCGAUGCUCUUGUCUUUGGAUAUGGAAACUUUACCUAGCCCCAUUACCUUUCCUUUGUUGUUGUCGCCGAAAGUAAUAUACUUCUGAGAAGAAGGAGUAAGGUUGGGGUCAACAAACAACGACUUGUCUCCGGUCAUAUGACUAGUGCAUCCACUAUCCAUGAUCCACUCAGUACACUUAGAGACAUAGUCCUGAAAGAAAAUCAAGCUUUCUUAACCACCCACAUCUUUAUAGGUGGCUUCAAAACAUAUGAGCGAGCUAGAUAUGAAUUCUUUCGGAAAAUACGUGAGUUGCUACCAAAGUGAGCACGAGAGUAAUCAUUUGAAUAAGCAUUGAAAUCUCGUCUAGAUGAAUGAGUGUAAUGGUUUGAUGAGGUAUGCAUGUAUUCAUUCCGUAGAACUCAUUCACGUAUGUGGCAAGUAUUUUCUUCCUGCAUGGUUAGAAGAGCUUUCAUAGAUAAUGCCUCGAUGGUUUUCUGCAGUUAGGUCCAUUCCUGCAGUUAGGUCCAACAUAGCGAGCAACAACCUCAUCACAUUGGUUUUUGAACAACUUAUAGUUGUCCAGAGAAUCAUUGGAAGCAUACUCAAGAAUGGGACAAUUGGAUCCUGAUAGUAAUGCAGGUGUUGGGUAGAAACCGAUCACCUGGAGCCCCUCGGCCCCUUUGUGGUUUGGCAUGGGGGAGGUCACGUUGCACAAAGAGCGGAGGCCAUGGAGCAACACAAUGGCGAUGACAUAGGCGAUUUUUACCCAGGUUCGGGCCGCUGUGAAGCGUAAAACCCUACUCCUACUUUGGUGGAUGGAGUGGAAGAAGGCAACGGGCGUGGGAUGCAAGUCCCCGGGAAGGUGGCCUCGGGAGUGCAGCCGCGCACGUACAAUGUAUGGGGUUUUGGUGUGGCCAAGUCGAGCCCGUGAGAGGAUCGAACCCUUUGAUAGGUUGCCUUGGACCUCCUUUUAUAGCUCAAGGGGUGACCACAAUGGCAAAAUAGUCAUUAUCCUGCGAUUAGAUAGCAAACAGUGCUAUCAUACCUAACUCUAGGAGUGAGGACAAAGUGCAUUAAAUGCACUAUUAGGUGUCUUGCUAUGGAUGAAGCCCGACAAGCCUGCUGCGCCGCCGAACCCAGCUUUUCUUACUAUCUUGACACACCUCUGGAUGGGUGUCAAGAGGGCAUGAUCUAUCUUCCAUCUGGCCGCCAUGCGCCUACGGUGGCCACUUAAUCACUUGGGGGCUCAACACUUCACUGAUUAUUGACUUGCGUCACUGUUCGGUGGAGCGGUGGAGCCAUGGUGUAUUGGCGGGGAGCUUGGUCUUGGUUGCCCCGACAAGCCUGUUGGGGCCAAUCUUUGGCUUGCUCCCGGGGCAGCUGAGGGAGUCCUGGACUAGGGGGUGUCCGGAUAGCCGAACUAUCUCCGUCGGCCGGACUCCAAGACUAUGAAGAUGCAAGAUUGAAGACUCCGUCCCGUGUCCGGAUGGGACUUUCCUUGGCGUGGAAGGCAAGCUUGGCGAUACGGAUAUGUAGAUCUCCUACCAUUGUAACCGACUCUGUGUAACCCUAGCCCUCUCCGGUGUCUAUAUAAACCGGAGGGUUUUAGUCCGUAGGACGAACAACAAUCAUACCAUAGGCUAGCUUCUAGGGUUUAGCCUCCUUGAUCUCGUGGUAGAUCUACUCUUGUAGUACCCAUAUCAUCAAUAUUAAUCAAGCAGGAUAGGGUUUUACCUCCACCGAGAGGGCCCGAACCUGGGUAAAAACAUCGUGUCCCUCGUCUCCUGUUACCAUCCGCCUAGACGCACAGUUCGGGACCCCCUACCCGAGAUCCGCCGGUUUUGACACUGACAUUGGUGCUUUCAUUGAGAGUUCCUCUGUGUCGUUGUCUAUACGCCCGGUGGCUCCUUCGAUCAUCAACAACAACACGGUCCAGGGUGAGACUUUUCUCCCCGGACAGAUCUUCGUAUUCGGCGGCUUUGCACUGCGGGCCAAUUCACUUGGCCGUCUGGAGCAGAUCGAAAGCUACGCCCCUGGCCAUCAAGUCAGAUUCGAAAGUUUGAACUAUAUGGCCGACAUCCGCGGGGACUUGAUCUUCGACGGAUUCGAGCCACAACCGAGAGUGCCGCACUGUCACGAUGGGCAUGAUUUAGCUCUUCUCCCGGACAGUGCCCUGAAGGCUGCACAAGAGUCCGCUCCGACCCUUAGCUCGGAGCCGACUGCGCCGAUCGAGGACGGGUGGCUGGACACCGCCUCGGGGGCUGCCACCUCUACGAUGAUAGAGCCGAAUACCAACCCUGUCCUUCGCAAAGGCCAUGACUCCGAGGUGCCAGACUCCUCUCCAGACUUCGAACCUCCCGCGCCCCUGCCAAUCGAAUCCGAUUGGGCGCCGAUCAUGUAGUUCACUGCCGCGGACAUCUUUCAGCGCUCGCCUUUUGGCGACAUGCUGAAUUCGCUAAAGUGUCUCUCUUUAUCAGGAGAGCCCUGCCGAAUUAUGGUCAGGACGGUUGGGAUGCGGACGAUGAAGAAAUUCAAUGCCUGCCCACCACCCACUUUGUAGCCACUGUCGAUGACUUAACCGACAUGCUAGACUUCGACUCCGAAGACAUCAACGGUAUGGACGAUGAUGCCGGAGACGACCAAGAACCAGCGCCUGCAGGGCACUGGAAAGCCACCUCAACUCAUGACGUAUACAUGGUGGAUACACCUAAAGGAAGCGAUAACAAGGAACAACGGGACGCCGCAAAGGAUAAUUCCCUCGAAAAGCAGUCAAAAUGGCGACGUAAGCGCCGCUCAAAGCCCCGCCUUGACAAAGACAACACGCAUGCAGACCCAGCCAUAGAGCAGGACGAACCGGUGGACGACGAACACGCUCUCGGGCAACCAUCCGAACAGGAUAGCUUGGAUAAACAAUCCGUCCCCGGCGAAAACAACAGUCCAGACGAUCUUACGCCGGACACAUAUUUGGAGCAGAAGAACCUCCACAAAAGGCUAGUCGCCACUGCACGAAGUCUGAAGAAGCAGAAGCGGAAGCUCAAAACAGUGGAAGACACACUCAGAAUGAGAUGGAGCAAGGUACUCAACACCGCAGACAAACACGACGAUAGUCGCCAAACGAAGAGCUACCCAAAGCGCAAACUACUGCCUGAAUUUGACGAGGAGGCCGUAGAGCCGCCACGAUCAAAGAACAAAGAGGCCGCCCGGUCGAAUAGACGACCACACAACAAACAAAGAGGGGCAAGCGGCGCCGCACACAAGUCGGUAUGCGAUCCGCAUAAGGAUCCGUGCCAAAAGGAUGGCCCAGUGAGGUCUAUCUAUGGGCCAAGAAAGCAGGCUCUAAAAAGCAAUACAACACGUCGAAUAUUCGAACAUCACGACACACCCAAAUACAGGGGCGCCGCUCACCCCCUAUGUUUCACCGAUGAGGUGCUGGAUCAUGAAUUUCCAGCAGGAUUCAAGCCCGUAAACAUAGAGGCAUACGACGGAACAACAGACCCUGGAGUCUGGAUUGAGGGUUACAUCCUGCAAAUACAUAUGGCUAGAGGAGAUGACCUCCACGCCAUAAAAUACUUACCCCUCAAGCUCAAAGGGCCAGCCCGGCACUGGCUCAAAAGCCUCCCAGAAAAUACCAUCGGAAGUUGGGAAGAGCUUGAGGAUGCGUUUCGGGCAAAUUUUCAGGGGACCUAUGUCCGCCCUCCGGAUGCGGACGAUUAAAGUCACAUAACUCAACAGCCCGGAGAGUCAGCCCACAAAUUCUGGAAUAGGUUCCUCACCAAAAAGAACCAAAUAGUCGACUGUCCGGACGCCGAGGCCUUAGCAGCUUUCAAACAUAACGUCCGAGACGAAUGGCUCACCAGACACCUCGGCCAAGAAAAGCCAAGAACAAUGGCCGCACUAACAAGCCUCAUGACCCGCUUUUGCGCGGGGGAGGAUAGCUGGCUGGCAAGAUGUAGCACCAGCGACCCAAGUACAUCCGAGGUCAGGGAUGGAAAUGGGAAACCACGACGCAGCAAGGACCAGCGCCGGACUAAGGGAAAUGGUCCGAAUAGCACGACAGUCAACGUCGGAUUCAAAAGCUCUCGACAGAACAACAAAAACCUGCCUCUCAAGGACAACAACGACGAGCUAUCCAACCUAAACAAAAUCUUGGACAAGAUAUGCCAAAUCCACAGUACCUCCGGGAAGCCUGCAAACCAUACCCACAGAGAUUGUUGGGUCUUCAAACAAUCUGGCCGACUUAACGCCAAACACAAGGGGCUCGGCGCACCAAGUGAGGACGAUGACGAACCCCACAAGCAGAGCUACGGGAAACAAAAGAAUUUCCCACAAGAGGUCAAAAUAGUAAACUCACUUCAAGUGAUGACAGGGAAAAAUAGAGAGACGCCCAUUAAAGUACGCGCCGCACGGUCUACCCCAACGGAGUCCCAACACUGGUUGUCAAAACCAAUCACCUUCGACCAUCAGGACUACUCCGGAAGUAUCCGGAAUGCGGGAUGGACUGCUUUGAUAUUAGACCCUAUAAUCGACGGACUACAAUUCACACAAGUCCUAAUGGACGGCGGCAGUGAUCUAAACCUGUUAUAUCAGGACACAAUCCGCAGAAUGGGGAUAGACCCAAUCCAAAUUCGCCAUAGCAACACUUCCUUUAAAGGAGUAAUGCCAGGCCCAUAUGCCCAUUGUACGGGCUCUCUACUACUAGAAGUUGUGUUCGGCCCAUCCGACAACUUCCGUCGCGAAAAGUUGGUCUUCCACAUCGCCCCAUUUAAAAGUAGCUAUCAAGCACUAUUGGGACGCGAAGCUUUCGCCCGCUUUAACGCAAUAUCACAUUAUGCAUCUCUUACACUUAAAAUGCCCGGUCCACGCGGCAUCAUCUCAUUAAAAGGAAACUUGGAGUGUUGCUCGAAUACGGAAGAACGUGAUACUGCCUUGACAGCCACACCUUAAUCCGGCCUUGCUGAUCAGAGCACCUAAACAGGUCAUCGAGACCCCGGACACGGUUAGGCGAGUCCGGCAUAAAUAAACAAGGGGCUUACUAGCCACGCACCCCCUUACAAGGGGCUGCACGCAUAUACAAUAAAGAGCCAAUAAAGCUCAAUUUUAUUUUUUCGAAUCAUACUCUGUUUAUUUUAACAAUACAUUUUUUGCAUGAUCUUUUUUCAAACUAAGUUCUUCUCUUUUACAUAUGAACACCAUGCUACACCCGUCCAGGAUACGGCACAACGGAGACACAGGUGCAGACGUGUAGUAGGGACCCGUUGGAAGGAUUCUUUUCAGAUUAAGACCAUGCGUAAACCUUUUUUACUAUCUCUUGUUGAUACACAUCCCCUGGUUUCUCGAUACAACCGAGGAGGAGGCUGGCGUUUUGGCAUCGGCCGCGUCAGAAAUUUUUGCGCGUACCUGGACACUAGGGGCUUAGGGCAUUGUUUUGCCCGUUUUCAUAAAGACCGAAUACCUUAGGGAGUGUUCGGUGUCUCGAGUUAGGCCUUAUAUGCAUCAGCUCCGAAUCAUGUCUUUGGACAAAUGUUGGGUUUGCCCGGCUCCUGUGUUUUGCUGCCUUACAUUCCGCUCUAUCGGCUAACGGGGCACCAGGAGAACUACUGCGAUUGUGCCCCUGUUCGUCUAGGUGAGCACCUCAGUAGAGAAAGCCAAAAACUGACUGUCAUGAUAUAGCGAGAGAUUGGUCAACCACUCGAUCGACCACCGGAAUGUUUAGAAUUCCUCCGCUUUGACGAAGGACCGUUUCCCGGUCAGGCACAUACGCUCCCCAAAUUCGGAGAGCGCGGUGCCCCUGGGGGCUAUAUAGUAGCCCCACCAUCGAACUCCUAUGGCUAAGUGAAAGUGAUAAAGCAUUAUAGUCCAGUUGCCUAGUUUGCUACGCUAUAACCUCCUUGACAGGACCAAGACGUUGGAUUAAGUGUGAAAAUGUGCUUUUUUUGCAAACACCCCCGCACUAUGUGCGUGGGGGCUGAAGCCAAAGACUGCCAUCUUUCAGGUUAUAUACACAUAUACAUUAAUGGCCGCACAGGAGGUAUUUCAAUACUUGAAUGCACAAGUAUAAAAAGCCCUUAUAUUAUAUAUUUGGAACAUGGUUUCACAAAUCAUACAUGUCAUUUGAACAUAAUAUUCUUCGAGCACUGCGUCUCUAUUAAACGAGCGCCCUGUAGGACUUCCUCAAAAUAGUGCUCGGCAGGUACUCGGCUUCGGUCCGAAUCCGGGGAUGCAACGUCGGUGGCCUUCAUCUCUGCCCAGUAUGUUUUGACGCGGGCAAGAGCCAUCCGCGCACCCUCUAUGCAUGCCGACCGCUUCAUUGCAUGGAUAUGCGGCACCGCAUCAAGGAACUGCUGCACCAAGCCAAAAUAACUCUUCGGCUCGGGCCUUUUCGGCCACAAAUGAGCCACGACAUACUUCAUGGCAAGUCCGGACAACCUAUCCAGCUCAGCCCAUUCGGCCAACAGAUCGGUUAAUGGAAGGGGACGCGCUGGACUAUGGAACUGCAACCAAAAAAGCUCUUCCAUUCCGUGAUCCUUUUGGCCUCGGAAGUGUGCGACCGCAUCUGUGGCACUCGCCGCCAAAUCCAGAUAAGCAUCCUCCGCACCCCAUAGCUGGCCCAACUGGGCAUACUUCGGAUCCGUGAACUUCCUCCACAGCAGGAAGGGCUUUCCAGCCGCGAUAUCCCCGGCUUGACGUCGCUCCUCCUUUAUCGCUCUCAUCGCGGAGCGGGCAUCCUUGGCUUCGGCGGUGGCCUUCUUCAGGUCCUCUUGCUCAGCUCGGCUUUCUUUUUCAAGAAACUCGCAGCGGUCGGUAGCAUUCUUCAACUUCACGGCCAUCUCGGCCAUCUCCUCCCUGCUUCGGCAGUGAGCAGCCUGUUCGGCUUUUAACUCUUCGUCCGCCUUCAAGGCAACCGCAUUACUUUUUCUGGCUAGCUCCUUGGCCCGGGCGAGCUCUGCCCGAAGGUCCUCCAUAGCAGCGGCACCAUCUGCAUUAAGCAUACAUGUUCUUAGGCACGGGCGUCAAGCUCCCUUAGCAGGUGUCCGCGGAAAAGCCGCAUACCUUGUGACUCGUCAAGUCGCUUAUUGACCAGCGUGAUGUCCGCAUCCGCAACGUCAAGUUGCCGCUUCAGUUCGGCAAAUCCAUCAGUCCGGCUGGCCACCGAACGCUCCGCCACCUAUAUAGGAAAGGCGACAUCUUACACCUCAGAUUAUGAUCCUCGGCACGCUGUCACUUUUGACAACGUACCGAGUCUUAGGGGUACUAUCUAUACAGGGCGCAUUUUAUAUGCAAAAAUGUCAGAAGGUAUAUCAUUUUCGCGUACCUCAAACCCCGUCAGUAAACUUCUGACGGCUUCAUGCAAUCUGCUCUCAGCGGAUGAAAUCCUUUCAAUCACCGUACCCAUUAACGCACGAUGAUCUUCUGAGAUAGACGCUCGCCCGAGCAGAUCCUUCAGCUCCUCCGACCGUACACCAGUUGGUGCCGGACCUUCCGGCCCCGCCGGACUCGGGGAAACCCUCCGCGACGACACCUCAGGGUCAUCCGCCCCGCCUGACGGUGCGGCAGAUGGAGGCGUUUCGCUCUCCAUCAUCUCCAGAUGAAGAUCCCCCGAAGACGAGCUCUGCUGAGAAGGGCUGAGAUCCGAACUACAAGGUAAAACUUCAGUUAUCCUCAGAGAUAAAAACGGGGAUGUCCCUUAUUACAAAGCUCCCCGUUCUACUUACGACUCGCUGGAGGGCUGAUUCCCUUGGGGAAGUGGUGCGGCCGGGGCUUCUCCUGGCACAGGACCCUCUGGUGAAGAUUUUCUCCCCUGCUUUGAGGCCUUGGCCUCGGGAUCUUCAGAAGCGGUCCUCUUCUCCCCUUGGAGGGAGGUAUUCUCGAUCCCCCCUUUCAUGAAAACCUCCUUAGUGGAGGCAGUAGCUCCCUUGUUCCCCCCUUCGCCCUUUUCCAAAGGCGCAGCCUCCAGCAUCUUGGUUAACACAGGAUCCGGCAUGAUCUUAGGGAGGGGGGCCAGACACCUUAUUAGUUUUGCUUUUGCUAUCCACUCCUGUUCAAGGGACGGCUCUUUAAAGGGCAAGUUUAUGAUAAAUGUACGGAUAGCAUGUCCGGGCAUAGGACUACUUACUGGAGUAUCUGGGCGAUUGCAGCUCGGACCUGUGUCCUCGGUCAAGUCCGGACACAUCUCUUGUGAUCCAAAGAACAAUUUAUACAUCUCCAUGGGCGUCGAGCCCAUGAAGUGUUGGAGAGCUCGUGGUCCCUCCGGAUUGAAUUCCCACAGGCGGAGGGGGCGACGUUUGCAGGGCAGAAGGCACCGAAUCAGCAUGACCUGCGCCACUACAACCAGAUCGAUCUCACUCUCUUGGAGGUCUCGAAUACGGCCCUGCAACAGAGGUACGUCCUUGGAUGGCCCCCAGUCAAGCCCUUUGUUGACCCAUGACACCAGCCGUUGUGGAGGACCCGAGCAAAAGAUAGGUGGCUCCACCCAUCUGGUGCCCCUGGGAGCGGUGAUGUAGAACCACUCCUGUUGCCACAAAGCAAGUUCCUCUUGAAAAGAGCCCUCGGGCCAUGGAGCGUCAGCACUUUUGCUUAUAACAGCCCCUCUGCACUCUACCUGCUGCCCCCCGAUCAUCUUCGGCUCCACAUUGAAGGUCUUGAGCCACAAUCCAAAGUGAGGGGUAAUGCGGAGGAAGGCUUCGCAUACGACAAUGAACGAUGAGAUGUGGAGGAUGGACUCCGGAUCCAAGUCGUGGAAUUCCAGCCCAUAAUAAAACAUGAGCCCCCUCACGAAGGGGUCCGUCGGGAAGCCUAAGCCCCGAAGAAAGUGAGACACGAACACCACGCUCUCACCAGGCUCGGGAGUAGGAAUAACCUGCACUUGGGCAGGCAACCUAUGCGAAAUUUCGCCGGUUAGGUACCUGGCGUCUCUCAGCUUUAGCACGUCUUCUUCCGUGAUGGAAGAAGGCAACCAUCGGCCUUGCAGGUCGGAGCCGGACAUCGUUGAAGGUCUGAAGCGCCCGGAUCUAGAGCUUUGGGUGUUGGAACUCGAGGCGAGGGGCGGAUCCGAUUGAGGUUGCAAGAAAGGAGUAGGCCUUGGUCUCGUUAUAAAGAGGGUGAAUACCAAGAGCCCUCCCCGUGGCCGUUUAGGACUCACCCUCGAUGUAGGGGGCAUGCCAACGGGCGCGGUUGGGUUACCCAUGCCCGUAUUGAUGACGAUCCCGGAAUAAGGGGACACGAUCUCUGCUUUGACAAGACGUGCCAAGGAAACCGCUUCGCUAAACGCGCUGAGGUGGAACAGUAAAAACAAUUCAAAUAAAGGCUUGGCCGUGGUGUGAUGUCACGCCACGAAAUACGUCAGCAGAUUGAACUUGUGUAAAUAUUAUUCUCUCUAUGGCGGUAUGUGGAAUUUAUUUUGCAGAGUCGGACACUAUCCUGGUGUUCAAAAUCUUCUAUGAAUUAUUCGGAGGAGGAACCCGCCUUGCAAUGCUGAAGACAAUAUGCGCGCCGGACUUAUCGUCAUUGAAGCCUGGUUCAGGGGCGACUGAGGGAGUCCUGGACUAGGGGGUGUCCGGAUAGCCGAACUAUCAUCAUCGGCCGGACUCCAAGACUAUGUAGAUGCAAGAUUGAAGACUCCGUCCCGUGUUCGGAUGGGACCGUCCUUGGCGUGGAAGGCAAGCUUGGCAAUACGGAUAUGUAGAUGUCCUACCAUUGUAACCGACUCUGUGUAACCCUAGCCCUCUCCGGUGUCUAUAUAAACCGAAGGGUUUUAGUCCGUAGGACGAACAACAAUCAUACCAUAGGCUAGCUUCUAGGGUUUAGCCUCCUUGAUCUCGUGGUAGAUCUACUCUUGUACUACCCAUAUCAUCAAUAUUAAUCAAGCAGGAGUAGGGUUUUACCUCCACCGAGAGGGCCCGAACCUGGGUAAAACCAUCGUGUCCCUCGUCUCCUGUUACCAUCCGCCUAGACGUACGGUUCAGGAUCCCCUACCCGAGAUCCACCGGUUUUGACACCGACAGCAGCCUUGAUACGUCUCCAACGUAUCUAUAAUUUUUGAUUGUUCCAUGCUUUUAUAUUAUCAGUCUUCGAUGUUUUAUAAUCAUUUUAUAGUUAUUUUAUAUCAUUUUUGGUACUAACCUAUUGACAUAGUGCCAAGUACCAGUUGUUAUUUUCUGCAUGUUUUUUACAUCACAGGAAAUCAAUACCAACUGGAUUCCAAACGUAGCGAAACUUUUUGGAGAUUUUUUUGGGCCAGAAUACAUCCAGUGGGAUGAAGAAGCACCUGGGGGCUGCUCCGAGGGGAGCACAACCCACCAGGGCGCGCCUGGAGGCCUAGGCGCGCCCUGGUGGGUUGUGCCCACCUCGGGUGCCCCCCGGACCGCCUCUUCACUCUAUAAAUACCCUAAUAUUCCAAAAACCCUAGGGGAGUCGACAAAAAUCAAUUCCAGCCACUGCAGAGUCCGGAACCACCAGAUCCAAUCUAGACACCAUCACGGAGGGGUUCACCACUUCCAUUGCCGCCUCUCCGAUGAUGUGUGAGUAGUUCUUUGUAAGACUUUAGGACCGUAGUUAGUAGCUAGAUGGCUUCCUCUCUCUCGUUUGAUUCUCAAUAGAAUGGUCUCUUGGAGAUCCAUAUGAUGUAACUCUUUUUGCGGUGUGUUUGUUGGGAUCGGAUGACCUUUGAGUUUAUGAUCGGAUUUAUCUUUUUAUCCAUGAAAGUUAUUUGAGUUUCUUUGAUCUCUUAUAUGAAAUAUUGCUUAUAGCCUCGUAUUUCUUCUCUGAUAUUGGGUUUUGUUUGGCCAAAUUCAUCUAUUUAUCUUGCAAUGGGAAGAGGUGCUUUGUAGUGGGUUCGAUCUUAUGGUGCUUGAUCCUAGUGACAGAAGGGGAACCAACGUGUAUUUAUCGUUGCUACUAAGGAUAAAAUGAUGAGGUCUAUUUCUACAUAAAUAGAUCUUGUCUACAUCAUGUCAUCGUUCUUAUUGCAUUACUCCGUUUCUCCAUGAACUUAAUACACUAGAUGCAUGCUGGAUAGCGGUCGAUGUGUGGAGUAAUAGUAUUUAGAUGCAGGCAGGAGUCGGUCUAUUAAUCUUGGACGUGAUGCCUAUAUAAUGAUAAUUGUCUGGAUAUCGUCAUGAUUAUUUGAAGUUCUAUCAAUUGCCCAACAGUAAUUUGUUUACCCACCGUUUUCUAUUUUUCCCGAGAGAAGCCACUAGUGAAACCUACGGCCCCCGGGUCUCUUUCUUAUAUUAUUUGCCUUUGCGAUCUGUUUUCCUUUGCUUUUAUUUUCAGAUCUAUUAAACCAAAAAUACAAAAAUACCUUGCUGCAAUUUAUUCUUAUUUAUUUUAUUUGGCGUUCGAUCUAUCAAUCUACUACAAUUUAUUCACGUCCGUUCACCAAUUCUGGCAUCGCUACCCGAAAGGGAUUGACAGCCCCUUUUACAUGUCGGGUUGCGAGUAUUUGUUAUUUGUGUGCAGGUGUUGUUUACAUUGUGUUGCUUGGUCCUCCUACUGGUUCGAUAACCUUGGUUUCUUCAACGAGGGAAAUACCUACCGACCGUUGUGCUGCAUCAUUCCUUCCUCUUUGGGAAAUACCGACGUAGCUUCAAGCCGCAUCAAGUCUCGACCUGGCUGAGCUCUCCUACUCGACGAGGGAGACCUUCCUAGGAAAGUAUCUUGUUGUGUAGGUACUCUUGGUGCACUCCUUGAUCUCUCAAAGAGCGGGUUCUCUGGCUUGGCCUAGGAAUGUAGACUGUCGUUAGGGACGAGGCCUCUAGUUUGCCUGUGCAUAAGUUUGGCCAACAAACGCAGGUGUUCAUUGCACCGACAGAAGCCCCUGGGCCUGGCUCGUACAUGCUGCCGAGCAUCGCUGGGGUAGGUCCCAGUAAUGCAUAGGCGAACACCAGAGCCACGCCACGGCGGGAUCUUUCCUUCUUGAGAUGUUCUUUGCUUCUUCAUUAACCUUGAACUUGUUGGAAAUAUGCCCUCGAGGCAAUAAUAAAAUGGUUAUUAUUAAAUUUCUUUUAUCAUGAUAACUGUCAAUUGUUCAUGCUAUAAUUGUAUUAACGUGAAACUGUAAUACAUGUGUGAAUACAUAGACCAUUAUCAUGUCCCUAGUGAGCCUCUAGUUGACUAGCUCGUUGAUCAAUAGAUGGUUGUGGUUUCCUGACCAUGGACAUUGGAUGUCGUUGAUAACGGGAUCACAUCAUUAAUUAGGAGAAUGAUGUGAUGGACAAGAUCCAAUCCUAAGCAUAGCACAAGAUCGUGUAGUUCGUUUGCUAGAGCUUUUCUAAUAUCAAGUAUCAUUUCCUUAGAUCGUGAGAUUGUGCAACUCCCGGAUGCUGUAGGAAUGCUUUGGGUGUAUCAAACGUCACAACAUAACUGGGUGACUAUAAAGGUGCACUACAGGUAUCUCCGAAAGUGUCUAUUGGGUUGGCACGAAUCGAGACUGGGAUUUGUCACUCCGUAUGAUGGCGAGGUAUCUCUGGGCCCACUCGGUAAUGCAUCAUCAUAAUGAGCUCAAUGUGACUAAAUAAGUUAGUCAUGGGAUCAUGUGUUACGGAAUGAGUAAAGAGACUUGCUGGUAACGAGAUGGAACGAGGUAUGGGGAUACCGACGAUUGAAUCUCGGGCAAGUAACAUACUGAUGGAUAAAGGGAAUUGUAUACGGGAUUGAUUGAAUCCCCGACAUCGUGGUUCAUCCGAUGAGAUCAUCGUGGAACAUGCGGGAGCCAUAUUGGCAUCCACAUCCCGCUAUUGGUUAUUGGCCGGAGAGGCAUCUCGGUCACGUCUACAUGGUUCCCGAACCUGUAGGGUCUACACACUUAAGGUUUGGUGACGCUAGAGUUGUAACGGGAAUUGUAUGUGGUUACCAAAAGUGGUUCGGAGUCUCGGAUGAGAUCCCGGACGUCAAGAGGAGUUCCGGAAUGGUCCGGAAGUAAAGAUUUAUAUAUGGGAAGUCCUACUUUGGCCACCGGAAAAUGUUCGGGAUUUUUCGGUAUUGUACCGGGAAGGUUCUAGAAGGUUCCAGAGUGGGGCCCACCUGCAUGGGAGACCCACCAAAACGUGGGUAGUGGGGGCAAGGCCCCACACCCCUGGUCAAGGCGCACCAAGAUCCCCCCUUAGAAGGAAUAAGAUCAUAUCCCGAAGGGAUAAGAUCAAGAUCCCUAAAAAGGGGGAUAACAAUCGGUGGGGAAGGGAAAGGAUGGGGUUUCUUUCCUCCACCUUUGCCAAAGCUCCAAUGGACUUGGAGGGCAAGAAACCAGCCCCCUCCACACCUAUAUAUAAUGGGGAGCUGCAUGGGAGCUUCACCCCUUGCCCGUGGCGCAGCCCUGCUCCCUCCUACACCUCCUCCUCCUCCAUAGCGCUUAGCGAAGCUCUGCCGGAGAACCACGAGCUCCAUCGCCACCACGCCGUCGUGCUACCAAAGUUCUCCCUCAAUUUCUCUUCUCCCCUUGCUGGAUCAAGAAGGAGGAGACGUCCCCGGGAUGUACGUGUGUUGAACGCGAAGGCGCCGUCCGUUCGACGCUUGGAUCGGAUCUUCGGUGAUUUGAGUCGCGACGAGUAUGACUCCAUCAACCGCGUUCUUGUAACGCUUCCGCUUAGCGAUCUUCAAGGGUAUGAAGAUUCACUCCCUCCUAGAUUGAUGUCAGUGACAUGUAUGAUUUUUUUGAAUUAUUACUACGUUCCCCAACAGUGGCAUCAUGAGCUAGGUCUAUGCGUAGAUUCUAUGCACGAGUAGAACACAAGUAGUUGUGGGCGGUGAUUUGUUCAAUUUGCUUACUGUUGCUAGUCUUAUCUUGAUUCAGCAGCAUUGUGGGAUGAAGCGGCCUGGAUCGACCUUACACGUACGCUUACGUGAGAUAGGUUCCACCGAUUGAGACGCACUUGUUGCAUAAGGUGGCUAGCGGGUGUCUAUCUCUCCCAGUUUAGUCGGAUCGGAUUCGAUGAAGAGGGUCCUUAUGAAGGGUAAAUAGCAAUUGGCAUAUCACUAUUGUGGAUUUUGCGUAGGUAAGAAACGUUCUUGCUAGAAAACCAUAGCAGCCACGUAAAACAUGCAACAACAAUUAGAGGACGUCCAACUUGUUUUUGCAGGGUAUGCUAUGUGAUGUGAUAUGGCCAAAAGGACAUGAUGAAUUAUAUAUGUGAUUUAUGAGAUUUAUCAUGUUCUUGUAAUAGGAAUCACGACUUGCAUGUCGAUGAGUAUGACAACCGGCAGGAGCCAUAGGAGUUGUCUUAAUUUAUUAUAUGACCUGCAUGUCAAUGAAAACGCCAUGUAAUUACUUUACUUCAUUGCUAACCGUUAGCCAUAGUAGUAGAAGUAAUAGUUGGCGAGACAACUUCAUGAAGACACGAUGAUGGAGAUCAUGAUGAUGAAGAUCAUGGUGUCAUGAUGGUGACGAUGGUGAUCAUGCCACACCUCGAAGAUGGAGAUCAAAGACGCAAGAUGAUAUUGGCCAUAUCAUGUCACUUUAUGAUUUGCAUGUGAUGUUUCUCAUGUUUACAUCUUAUUUGCUUAGAAUGACGGUAGCUUAAGUAAGAUGUUACCUCACUAAAAUUUCAAGAAAUGUGUUCCCCCUAACUGUGCACCAUGGCGAAGGUUCAUUGUUUCGAAGCACCACGUGAUGAUCGGGUCUGAUAGAUUCUAACGUUCGCAUAUAACAGGUGUAAGGCAGAUUUACACAUGCGAAACACUUAGGUUGACUUGACGAGCCUAGCAUGUACAGACAUGGCCUUAGAACACAAGAGACUGAAAGGUCGAACAUGAGUCAUAUAGUAGAUACGAUCAACAUGGAGAUGUUCACCGUUGAUGACUAGUCCGUCUCACGCGAUGAUCGGACACGGCCUAGUCGAUUCGGAUCAUGUAUCACUUAGAUAACUAGAGGGAUGUCUAUCUAAGUGGGGGUUCAUUAAAUUAUUUGAUUAGAUGAACUUAAUUAUCAUGAACUUAGUCUAACAUUGUAUUUACAAUAUAUCCUUUAGAUCCAAUGGCCCAUGCUAAUGUUGCCCUCAACUUCAACGCGUUCCUAGAGAAAACCAAGCUGAAAGACGAUGGUAGCAACUAUACGGACUGGGUCCGUAACUUGAGGAUCUAAUAACCCACAAGUGUAGGGGAUCAAUUGUAGCCUCUUUACAUAAGUAAGAGUGUCGAACCCAAUGAGGAGCUAAUGGUAGAACAAAUAUUCCCUCAAGUUCUAUCGACCACCGAUACAACUCUACGCACGCUUGACGUUCGCUUUACCGGAAACAAGUAUGAAACUAGAAGUACUUUGUAGGUGUGGUAGGAUAGGUUUGCAAGAUAAUAAAGAGCAUGUGAAUAAAAUAUAGGGGGUGUUUAGAUAAAGACACAACUAAGUUAGUUUUAGUAGAGAGAUAUUAUCAAGAACAAAGUUAUUUGUCCCUAGGCAAUCGAUAACAAGUACUGGUAAUCAUUCUUGUAAUUUUAUAUGAGUGAGAGGCAUGAGCUAACAUACUUUCUCUACUUGGAUCAUAUGCACUUAUGAUUGGAACUCUAGCAAGCAUGCACAACUAUAAAAGAUCAUUAAGGUCGUGAAACCGAACCAUAGCAUUAAGUAUCAAGUCCUCUUUACUCCCAUACGCCAUAACCCAUCUAUCCGCGUUUAGGCUGCUGUCAUCCCCCGCAACACUGACAAUAAGUGAACCAUGAACAUAUUGCAACACCCUAUAGCGGGGACCCCUCAUGUUUGCGCAAGACGGAGGGCACCGUAGGACAGCACCAUAAAUAAAAUAUACAAUCAUACCAACCAAGAUCACGAUUAACCCAUAGGACAAAACGAAUCUAUUCAAACAUCAGAGGAUAACCAUAAAUCAUUGGGAAAUAAUAUAUGGAGUUGAGCACCAUGUUUAAGUAGAGAUUACAGCGAGGGAAAGAGGUGUUACACCGCUGCAUAGAGGGGGAGAGAGUUGGUGUUGACGGUAGCAAGAUUGUUGAUGUAGAUCCCCAUCAUGAUCCUAGCCCCGGUGGCACUCCGGCACCACCGGAAGUGUGAGGGAGAGAGCCCCCAUCCUUCAUAUUAUUCCUUGGCCUUCCCCCUAGAUGGGAGGAGGGUUCCCCCUCUGGUCCAUGGUCUCCAUGGCGGCGGAGGGGCGGGAGCCCCUCCGAGAUUGGAUCUACCUCUCUAUUCUCUAUUGUUUCACGUUCUUAGAUCUGGCUGAAAACCGUUUCUUAUAUUCUUGGAGAUUCGUAACUCCAAUUGCACUGAGACUUUAACACAAUAUUUUUUUCCGGAUAUAAGCUUCCUUGCGCCCGAAGUAGAGCUCCAACCAAUGUUCGAGGAGGGCACAACCCACCACCGCGCGCCAGGGGCCUCUGGCGCGCCCUGGUGUCUUGUGGGCUGUGUGGGCCUCCGUUUGCGGUGAUUCCAACUUCCAAAAAUCACAUAUAUUCCAAAACAAUUCUCCGUGAAAUUUUAUUAUAUUUGGACUUUGUUUAAUAUGGAUUUUCUGCGAUACAAACAACAUGCAGAAAACAUGAACUGGCACUAGGCACUGGAUGAAUAGGUUAGUCCAAUAAAUCAUAUAAAAAGUUGCCAAAAGUAUAUGAAAGUGGUAUAAUAUUGGCAAGAAACAAUCAAAAGUUAUAGAUAUGACAGAGACGUAUCAGGAUCAUCCUCAUAGCUGCCAAGAAAGCUUAUGUCCUUGAAGCACCGCUUGGUGACGCACCCAUUUUCCCAGCAACUCAAGACGUUAUGAACGCCUGGCAGUCGCAUAGUGAUGAUUACUCCCUGGUUCAAUGGGGCAUGCUUUACAGCUUAGAACCGGGCUCCAAAAGCGUUUUGAGCAACACGGAGCAUAUGCGAUGUUCCAAGAGCUGAAAAUGGUUUUCCAAGCUCAUGCCCAGGUAGAGAGAUAUGAAGUCUCCGACAAGUUCUACAGUUGUAAUAUGGAGGAAAAUAAUUCUGUCAGCGAGCAUAUACUCAAAAUGUCUGGGUUGGACAACCGUUUGUCUCAGCUGGGAGUUAAUCUUCGAGAUGACUCGGUCAUUGACAAAAUCCUCCAGUCGCUUCCACCUAGCUACACGAGCUUUGUGAUGAACUACAAUAUGCAAGGGAUGGAGAAGUCCAUUCCUAAGUUAUAUUCAAUGCUGAAAUCAGCGAAGGUGGAAAUCAAAAAGGAACAUCAAGUGUUGAUGGUGAAUAAGACCACUAGUUUCAAGAAAGGCAAGGGUAAGAAGAACUUCAAGAAGGAUGGCAAGGGAGUUGCCGCGCCCGAUAAGUAAGUUGCCGGGAAGAAGAAGCCAAAGAAUGGACCCAAACCUGAGACUGAGAGCUUUUAUUGCAAGGGAAAUGGUCACUGGAAGUGGAACUGCCCCAAGUACUUAGCGGAUAAGAAGGCCGGCAACGCCAAAGGUAUAUAUGAUAUACAUGUUAUUGAUGUGUACCUUACCAGCGCUCGUAGUAGCUCCUAGGUAUUUGAUACCGGUGCGGUUGCUCACAUCUGUAACUCAAAAUAGGAGCUACAGAAUAAGCGGAGACUGGCGAAGGACGAGGUGACGGUGCGCAUCGGGAAUGGUUCCAAGGUCGAUGUGAUCGUCGUCGGCACACUACCUCUACAUCUACCUUCAGGAUUAGUUUUAAACCUCAAUAAUUGUUAUUUAGUACUAGCUUUAAGCAUGAACAUUGUAUCUGGAUCUUGUUUGAUGCGAGAUGGCUACUCAUUUAAAUCCGAGAAUAAUGGUUGUUCUAUUUAUAUGAGAGAUAUGUUUUAUGGUCAUGCCCCAUUGGUCAAUGGUUUUUAUUAAAUAUCGAACGUGAUGCUACCCAUAUUCAUAGUGUGAAUACCAAAAGAUGUAAGGUUGUUAAUGAUAGUCCCACAUACUCGUGGCACUGCCGCCUUGGUCAUAUUCGUGUCAAACGCAUGAAGAAACUCCAUGCAGAUGGACUUUUGGAGUCUCUUGAUUAUGAAUCAUUUGACACGUGUGAACCGUGCCUCCUGGACGAGAUGACCAAGACUCCGUUCUCCGGAAGAAUGGAGCGAGCUACCAACUUGUUGGAAAUAGUACAUACUAAUGUAUGCGGUCCAAUGAGCGUUGAGGCUCGUGGUGGCUAUCGUUAUGUUCUCACCCUCACUGAUGACUUAAGUAGAUACUGGUAUGUCUACUUAAUGAACACAAGUCUGAGACCUUUCAAGGAAUUUCAGAGCAAGGCAGAGAAUCAACAUGACAUGAAAAUAAAGUUCUUACGAUCAGAUCAUGGAGGAGAAUACUUGAGUCACGAGUUUGGCAUGCACUUAAGGAAAUCUGGAAUUGUUUCACAACUCACACCGCAUGGAACACCUCAGCAUAAUGGUGUGUCCGAACAUCAUAAUAGCACUCUAUUGGAUAUGGUGUGAUCUAUGAUGUCUCUUACCGAUCUACCGCUAUCAUUUUGGGGUUAUGCUUUAGAGACUGCCGCAUUCACUUUAAAUAGGGCACCGUCUAAAUCCGUUGAGACGACACCAUAUGAAUUAUGGUUUGGGAAGAAACCUAAGUUGUCGUUUCUGAAAGUUUGGGGAUGCGAUGCUUAUGUCAAAAACUUCAACCUGAAAUGCUCAAACCCAUAUCAAAAAAAGCAUCUUCAUAGGAAAUGCUAAGGAAACUAUUGGGUAUACCUUCUACCUCAGAUCCGAAGGCAAGAUCUUUGUUGCCAAGAAUGGAUCUUUUCUGGAGAAAGAGUUUCUCUCGAAAGAAAUAAGUGGGAGGAAGGUAGAACUUGACGAGGUACCCCCUCUUGAACCGGAGAGUAGCACAGCUCAGGAAGAUGUUUCUGUGGUGCCUGCACCAAUUAGAGAGGAAGUUAAUGAUGAUGAACAUGAAACUUCGGGUCAAGUUGCUAUUGAACUUCGUAGGUCCACGAGGACACGUUUCGCACCAGAGUGGUACGGCAACCCUGUCCUGGAAAUCAUGUUGUUAGACAAUGGUGAACCUUCAAACUAUGAACAAGCGAUGGCGGGCCCAUAUUCCAACAAAUGGCUUGAAGCCAUGAAAUUCGAGAUAGGAUCUGUCGGGGAUAUUCCCCACGGCGUAAACCGGCCGGAAGGAUAAACCGGCCGGACUUGGCAAUUCACCGGCGACCUGCACAGACCAGACGGUUUACAGCUCAUUGGUAAUCCGGCAGGCGGGCCAGAGGAGCAACAAGACCCGGUGGCCCAACGGGCGGUUCAUGAAGGCCGGUUCAACUAUGGUGGGCCGGUUUAAGAUGAAAGGAAUAUUUGCCUCACAAGGAGUUAAGACUAGGACUUGUAUCCGGUUUGUAUUAGAGAUAGACUAGUCCUAAUCCUAAUAGGACUCCACAUGUAACCCGCCCCUUCAACAUAUAUAAGGAGGGGCAGGGCUCCCCAAAGAGGGACGAGUUAGAAGUUACAAGUUACAAGCAAGAAGAAACAAUCUUAGGGCUAGACACAAAGACGAGAGCCGGUUUACGGCGACUACCUCGUGAUGAUAAUGAGACCUAGCCUCAAAUAGCAUGUAGGGUUUUUUACCGGAUGAUGUUUCCCGGGGCCCGAAGCUGUCUAAAUCCCUGUCUUGUGUUGCGUCUCUCGAUUCCGCUCAACCCCUCUCAAGCUACCACAUAGAUGCGUUGGCCUCGCGACUAAGUCCUGACACUAAGGACAUCUGCCGUGACAAUUCCACGACAGUUGGCGCCCACCGUGGGGCUCGCGCACGGUGGUGUUGAGUUCUUGGAGGGAUGUAUUUCAGGGAUUGAGAAGUUGGUGAUGUGUUGGAUGAAAAAGAACCGACACAGAAGACGUCUGGUGCACAGUCAAAGCAACAUAUACAUGAGUUAAGAUCAAGAGAAAAUUAGGGUUGCGUCUAGGCGCCAGUGUACACGACCGGAUGAUCCGUCUGAGGCCAGGUUGAUUUUUUGCUGCCGCAACAAGUCGAAGUCUCGUAUCAGAAAUCAAUCGGUACGAGAUACGAGAUGCAAUCACCGAGUCCGACAGAUUUGACGGCUCCGUGUCCGUUUGUGAAUCCAAUAUUGGAGGUCUAUUUUUCCUGUGUUUAAAUCUAGACGUACUGACCCAGUACGGGUUACUCGGAUGGUUGUUGCUCCCAAGGGUAAAUCGUGGCAGCAGAGGCAAAGCUAGCAGCGUAUGCGUCAAAUCAGGGAAUUAUCAUUACUGCUAUUUUUUCUGGCCUAAAGACCAAGUCAAAGCCGGAGAUCCCCAAGCACUUCUGCUAGUACUAUAAAAAAGGAUAGUACUGUUUGAGUACUAGUAGAUCGGGAAAAGAACAAAGGAAAUUAUUAGAUGAACUGCGCACUACGUCCAAGCAUCAAAUCAGAGUUAGUACUAAGUACUAAUGGCCGGUUUAGCGCUCACGUGAAGGCAUUGGAAAAACUUGACACAACAAUCAAUUGGGAAUAAAACCUCCACCACUUGAAGGAGGACUCCAGGGGCCGUCAAUCGAAGCUGCUACUACUAUUUACUCCAGGAGAAGAUCAAACACAGGCCGACUACUCCCGUCAGGAUCAAUCUAGUAAUACUACUACUCGUCAGGAAGCUAACCCGGGUGUACACACGAACUCGGACGACUCUGGCUGCACUGUGAAGUCGCCAGGGCCUGCUCCAAAACCUCGUGGUCCAAGCCGCCCUUCGCCAGCGUGUCGAGCUACUGCCGCGGCCGCACCGUCAAAUCCGAACAGAUGAUCAAUUUCUUUUCUGCAGUUGUUUGUCGUCAAGGCUGACAGGAAUUGUGCUACACUGUCGUCGCGGGAGCUUUGCUACCUUGGCCAAACUGCUAUCAGCAUAUGAAAAUACCAGGUGCUAUUUAUCCUAUUUUAGACACGUAUUAAUUCAUCCGAUGAACACUACUUUGCCCUGCUGUGUUUUAUAUGCAGGAGAAUUAUUCGUCACAAAGUGGCAUUAUACCGCGGAGAUGGAGGCGUGCCAACAUUAUUCGGCACGGGUGGUCGUCCUUACUCAACGGACCCCCGCGCCGGGUUACAAUACCUUGACCGACUCGCCCGACCGCACUGCCUUCCAGCCCCACGGACAACUCGCCCGUCCGCCCUUGCGGCCGGUUCACGUGUUCGUGCUGCCUUACAAACGUCGCAGCCGACUCAUCCGUCCGCGCCGGUUUACCAUGCAGCGGCCAGUUCACCCGUGAGCGACUUCAACUUCACCUAGCGAUCAUCAAUUUCAUGGCGGAUUAUUUCCGGCCUGGCACAUCAGGUGAUAUCCAUCUAAAAUAUAUUAUAUUGGUACAUAUUAUUUUUUGUCAAAGAGCAGUUUAUCUUUGUCUUGGUCUGCAACAUUGUUGAUGCAGGACAAAUUGUUUGCUGCAUCAAAACGACGUGGUUAACUCACCCGCCUGCACCGGCUUACAACGCCGCGGCCGAUUCAUCUGUUUGAGCCACCUCUGAUGCCGAGGUCAUCUUUUUCGUCCGCCUCUCAUGGCCUGGUCUACAUCAACACACCAGGCCGCACCUGUCUGCAUGAGCUGUUUAUUGAGUAUGAGCAAGUCACAGCUUGGGUAGCCCGGUUUUCUUUCAAGCAAAAUGGAGGCAAGUUAUCACAUACUAUCAACCGCUGUCUGCACUGGGUGGUUCAAUGGGCAGGCGCACAAGUCGCCGCCAUUACAGUUUGGUUAACUUCAAAUCACCAGUUGGAAGGAACCAUUGGCCGAGUUGCUGACACGGCUCAUACGGGAUCAUUUAUAACCCGCCGCAGUCACCUCAACCUUCUGUGGAUUCACAUCAUGCUAUCAACACCAAUGAUAUACAAGUUAUGCCGGUUUAUAUGACGGUCAAAUAUGGAGAAUCUCAAGCCAACUCUUCGAUUCACCUUGAGACUCGGGAGCUACGAUGAUAUGACGCAACAAGUCUUGCCAGUUUCAGCAAAUUUAAAAACCCCAGGACAAUGGAGGGAAAGAUAACCCGGUCUCGGAGGCUACUGUUAUUUGAAGGCCGUCAGAAAAUUUCCGGCUUGGAAAGUAUAUGACAAUUACAAAAUCCCGGCUCAAUGAAGAAGUUCCGGGUCAUCAGAAGAGAUUCCGGUUUAAAAUCCGGCUCAAGGGAAGCCAGUCUCACUGAAGCUCUCAAAUCUGGUUUAAGAAUUUCCGGUUCAAAAAGGAAUUAACUUGUCGCAAGUUCGAGUUUAAAGGCCGUCAGAAAAUUUCGGGCUAAAAAUGAAGAUUCUGGUUUAAAAUCCGGUUCAAGGGAAAGAUGUCUCCCACAAAGCUUUGAAGCUCUCCAUAUCCGGUUCAAGAUCCCGGUUCAAGAAGAAUUUGUCUCUUGCAAAAAAGUUAAAAAUUACCGAAGAGGACCUGCUGCCAUGAUGCGCGGUUCAAACAUGGGUAUCAUGCCUUAUUGGCCUAACAUAUUAUUGAUCACAUGGGGGCUUCUGCUUCAUAAAGCGGGGUCUCUGUUCUUCUUUACAUCAUGCGUGGUUACAUGGAGUGGCUCUGUUUUUAAAACGGCCUCCGGUUUACCCCUUGACAUUUGCUUUUUAUAUAUCACUUGGGGCCUUGGUCGUGUCCGAACCAACGCGACACCUCUUGAUAGGCGACAGCCACCAGAUCACUUGGGGACAUGGUCAAGUCUGAACCAGUCACGCCUCUUGAUCGGCCUAAGGCCACAAAAUCACUUGGGGGCUUGGUCGAACUCGAACCAUUGCCACACCUCUUGAUUUGGCAUAUAUGCCACGAAUCAUUUGGGGACCUGGCUGACUUGAAUCAUUGUCACUCCUAUUGGGGGCUUGGUCCUGUCCGACCAUGGUAACACCAUCUGAUCAGCUCAGUAUAGCAUGUUUUUUGCAAACAGUUUUAUCAUUGCCUUUGCUUGAAAUUUUCUUUAAUAAAUAUUUCUUCUUUGUUGCGUUCUUAAACCGACAAAAUUCGCAGACCGGUUCGACUGUCAAUUGACAGAACACGGUCAAUUCUUAAUCCGGAGAUUAUUUGCCCGGUUUAAUUUUUUGAUUUUAUAUUACCAUAUUAUUAUGGAGUAAAUCGGUGUUCAUUAACCCGGCUUGAUUUUCGAUUACAAGUUGUCAGUACAUGACUAAUUAUGAUCAGGCGAUUAUUAACCCGGUCUGGUUUCGACUAUAAGUUACCAGCAUUAUAUUCGGUGUUUAUCACAACCCGGUACGGUUUAUCAUAAACCGGCAUAGUAUGAAAGGAGUUAUCAUUACUCAAGAUUGGGGUUAUCACCCUUACUACAAAAAGUUGGUAAACCAACAAUGUGAUUCAAUGUCACAGGUAUGAUAUAUUUCAUAUUUGAUUAUUCUUAAAUGCAGCCUUGGUUAUAAACCUGGGUUAUAUGUUGGGCAUUAUGACCCGUCCGGCGGUAAGCCGCCAGGACACUUUAAACUUGUUGUAUGCAGAAACAGGUUGAAUAAAGCAUGAUGAUAAAUUAUCCGGUGUCUAUUAAACCGGCCUGGCUUUAAGACGAUAAGUCGCCAGUAUAUGAUGGGAAAUUAUCCGGUGUUUAUUAAACCGGCCUCGCUUUGGACUAUACGUCGCCAGUAUAUAUUUGGAUUGCGCCAUUGGAAUCAUGCGCUUAUAAAUGAUUGGGUUAUAUUAUUCAAAAAGCCAAACUUGGCUGAAUAUUCAUUAUGGUAUUGAAUGCAUAAGGUUUUCAUACUGGAUUAUAUUAUCUUGAAUAGCCAAUAUGGCUGGAUUUUUAUUAUGGUUUUUAACAACCGGUAUUAUUGAGGUUUUCAAAGUCGCUUUAGCGCAAUGGCUAUUAUUUUUUCAAAGGAUAUGCUUUAUUUUGCAAUGGAGGGAAUAGUCCCGAGUCGCUGCAGGCUUACGACCCGGCACUUGGGGGCUACAUUAUUCAAGUUGAGAUUAUAUCAAAUAUGCAAGUCUCAUGUCGCUGCAAGCAUGCACCAUGAUACUUGGGGGCUAAUGUAAAGUCAUUUUUUGCUCAUAUUAUUGAAGACCCGAUUCAUCACAUUAUAAUGAGCCAGCCCUUGGGGGCUACCAAUUGCUCUUGUCAACAAUUCAAGGUACAAAGUUUUUAUCCAUUAUAUUGAAGGGUACAUUGCUCAGUUGGUAAAGCACAAGGCUCUUAACCUUGUGGACGUGGAUUCAAGCCCCAUGAUGGGGGUUGUAUUAUAUGAUAUUAUUUUUAUUGAAGUAUAUAUCAAGUCCCAGCUCAAUAUUAUCUUACUGAGCCGGCCCUUGGGGGCUAUACACCGUUGUUGUUCAAAGAUUACAUGAUUAUAUUUACAAAGUCACUGCUCAUUAUUGCAUAAUGACCCGGCCCUUGGGGGAUACACUGGUUGAAGUUUUUAUGAGCAUCAGGAAAUUACAAGUCCCAGGUUACUACAAGCAUGACAACCCGGCACUUGGGGGCUACAUAUUGGGAAUACUCAAUUCUGACUAGUGAUUGAGAUGGACAACCUGGAUUUCUUCAAGAUUGUGAUAUUUAUAUUGAAGCAAGUCUUAAGCUAUUGCUAUGCUACCUUCUUAAGACUUGAGGGCUACAAGUGAUAGUCUUAUAAGAGGUAUAUUUUCAAGCUGGAGGUCAAUUACAAGUAUGAACCGGUACUAUCAAUAUUUAUAAACCGGCAAGUUUUACAUUCUUAAACCGGCUGAAGAUCAGAUGAGGAUUUCAAGGACCAUUAUUUUUGUUAAGCAUUGGGAGCUGAGAAACUAAUGUCAGCAAAUUGAUUAUGAAGCUGGCCUAUUAAACCGGAUUUUCUAGAAGGAGGAAAUAACAAGGACUUAAGGAUGAUCAGGCGCCGGUUUACAAGAAUUCUUAACCCGGAGCACAACCUAUCAAAUUUGUUCUGGUGUUUAUUUGCAGCAUAAGUUUACCAUGGAUAAAUCCAAGCUAAACUUGGGGGCUAAUGUCGGGGAUAUGCCCCGCGGCGUAAACCGGCCGGAAGGAUAAACCGGCCGGACUUGGCGAUUCACCGGCGACCUGCAUAGACCAGACGGUUUACAGCUCAUUGGUAAUCCGGCAGGCGGGCCAGAGGAGAAACAAGACCCGGUGGCCCAACGGACGGUUCAUGAAGGCCGGUUCAACUAUGGUGGGCCGGUUUAAGAUGAAAGGAAUAUUUGCCUCACAAGGAGUUAAGACUAGGACUUGUAUCCGGUUUGUAUUAGAGAUAGACUAGUACUAAUCCUAAUAGGACUCCACAUGUAACCCACCCCUUCAACAUAUAUAAGGAGGGGCAGGGCUCCCCAAAGAGGGACGCACUACUAGAAAAACCCCUACUAAUGGCGCACCUAAUAUGGCCAUUAAUGGCACAUCUGUGGUGCGCCAUUAACAGCACGCCAUUAGUAAUUUUUACUAAUGGCGCACCACCUGGUGCGCCAUUAGUAUCUGGUAUACUAAUGGCGCACCGCGGGUGCGCCAUUAGUAUAGGCCAGCGUGCGCCAUUAGUAAGCCUCCCAGGGGCCAUGUAUACCCAGGUGCUUUGGCAUACUAAUGGCGCACCACCACUGGAUGCGCCAUUAGUAACCGCGGCAUACUAAUGGCGCACUACCCAGUGAUGCGCCAUUAGUAUGCACUGUCAUACUAAUGGCGCACUGUCAUGUGAUGCGCCAUUAGUAUGAAUAUUAGGUUUUUUUUAUUUUUUUUAUUUUCUGUUUUUUGCACAGGUUACAAAAUGUAUAAUUUGACAAAAUAUAGACAGCACACAUCAACAACAGAUUCAUCGAAUACAAUAGAAGAUUAGUCUUUGAAUACAAUUCAUCAUAUUAGUCUCCGAAUACAAUUCAUCAUAUUAGUCUCCGAAUUAAAAAGACUGAACAAAGAUAGAACAUUAUAUUACAAGUCUCGAGACCGCGAGUAGCGAGUUUAUCUUCACAUUACAAGUCGAUAUCGAUCAUCUAAACUACCAUCACAUAGAAGAGAGCUGCGGUCAUCACGAUGAGCAUCAUCACGAUGAAACUCGUCUUCAUCCGGUUCCUCCAACGCUCCCUCCCCUCUCCCGCUAGAUAGCGGGCGUAUCUAGAUUCGGCCUCGGCCCUAGUGGUGUACCCUUUGUAACUGUUACCGCUGAAUCGGUGAACCUGUCUCCGACACUCCUCCAGUCAUCGUAGACUCCGGGAACCUUACCCUUGUACACGACAUACGUCAGCAUCGCUAUGCACUAGCCAAACGAAACGUUAGUACCAAUUCACAGACAAUACAUAAGCAAUAUAUAAUUAUGCAACAGAACGAUCGGAAGAGAAAAGCAAGACAUUAAUAGCAUCGAUUACAUCUAAGUUGAAUGACUCUCGAAACCAAAGAGACAUACUACAAGUUCAUCAAAGUUUAAUUACAACAUGAACCAAUCGAUGUUUCAGAACUAGACAACUCGACUCAAGGGACCGGAGCUUGUGUUUUCAAAUUCAGCGGGGAACUUGUAUCGUUCGUGCAGCUUCGUGAAGAGGAGGUUGCGCAAAUUCCCUCGGUCAGGAUGCCUCAGGUUCUCGGUGUUGAUCGAGACGGUGCUCCGGACAAUGCACCCGAGCUGAAGCGAGUACCCCUUGACUAUUCGUUCGGGCGCCGUUGGAUUCCCGUUGGAGUCCACUUCAGUAACUUCCUCCGUGAGGAUGCGGAGCACGAUUGGGCGCCGGUCCUUCCGUUGCCUCUUCGGUUGGCUGCCAUCUGUGCGUGCGCCGCCAUCAUCAGUGGUGGCAUCCUCGGCGGCACCAUCAGUGUGGUCAUCCUCGGCGGCACCAUCCGUGGUCUCAGGAUCGGUGGGGAAGGCGGCGGCCUCAUACAAGUGAGGUUGUUCCUCCAUCUCCUGAGACAGCUCCCAGAAUGCCUUGCCGCCCGAACCCCCGGCCUCAUCGUUGUGUGCCAUGUUUCUCUCUAAAUAGAAACAAAGUUUGGUCAAAAAGUUGGUUAUUGUCAAGGAACAAGAUCAUGGUCUCAUCAUUUAGGGUUUGUCGACAUCGAGGCAUCCUAAAAUCUAAGCUUUUAUCAUUGAGGGUUUUUCGACGCCGAGGCACCCUAAAAGCCUAACCUUUCAUCAUUUCGGUUUUUAUCGACACCGAGGCACCCUAAAAGCCAUGCAUUAGUCACAAGUACGCCGGGGCACUUGAUCCUACUUAAUUAACUACUAAGAUACCCCGGCCCAUGCAUUAGUCACAAGUACCCCAUAUGUCCUAUUUUUAGCAAAGUCAUGCUAAAAUUCACGGAAAAUUUCAGCAUGACCUUUGCUGAAAAUAGGACAUAUGGAGUACCCGAAUUUGCCGGAACGUAAGUUAAUCGACAUUCCGACAAACUCAAGGGCCUCUUGGGGUACCUGCAAUAUCAUCACGACACGAUGGUCGGAGACAAAACCCAGCAAACUAGCACCACAAUGUGCCUCUACUUUCAUAUGGAUGAAAAGGCCACAAUGUGCCUCUACUAGCAUCACAAAAAACCCCUUGAGUUAGAAGAUGGUAUCCUCCAUUUUGUACAUCUUUGCGACCGCACGGAGCUAAUUUUCUCCAUGCAUGAAACAUGACAUAUGAACAUCAGUAUGCAUUGAUUUAUGAAAGAGACAGCCUAGCAUGGGCAGCAAGAGCCACUCAGGCUAGCCAAGGAGACUGCCCAUGAAACCACACCCCAAGGUAGAAGCCAUCAUUCAUUACAAAUUUGAAUAUAUGAUAUUCCAGAAAAUAAUCUGUCUACAAAAUGAGAUACAUUCCGUUUGAACUACCAAGUUACACAAAGAAAAUGCACCUAAGCACCAAGAGGAACUGUUACAACUCCAUAAGGUAUAUCCAAGUCACUGCUACUCAUAUUCAAAAAACCUAACUCCAAUAUAACCAGAAAGAUUGUAAAACAUUAUAUCUCCCUGCUGACACGAACUGAAAGCGUAACAAAAAUACCUAUUAUUCUAGGCAGCUGCCUUGCUAGUGAUUCGGUGUCGUCGCAACUGGAUCCCUCCCACUCGACCUGCGAUCUUCUACAAGGAAAAAGUAGCAGCUCAGUCAACCACCAUAUAAUUAUACAAGGAAAAAAUGCUACUUGGCACAAGUGUAAACGAGAAGCUUGAGGUAGCAGCAGAUUGAAGUGAUAAAGUGCAAAGGAGAAGCUUGAGCUAGUAAACAAUUUCUGAAUGUUAUAAAGUGGGGAAAGUAAAAUAAAAUUCAUGACUAGUCAUGGCACUAGAAAAGAGAUGAGAUUUCACAAAACCAGAGCCAAGCAUAGUCCAGAAUGUCAAAUUUUCAGUUAGUUAAUUAUUACUCUGUGGCAUUGCCAUACUUAGCCAAGAGUCCCCAUUUCUUAUAUUCUGUGAGAUGCAGUCAUCUUUUACUCCAGUUCUUAUAGUAUUUUGGAGUACAUUGCCUGUUAUGCUGCUUCCAAGGUUAGCAUAGGUUCAGAAAUGGGGACUAAAAAAUAGUGAUUUAAUUCUCCAAUUCAAUUUUCAUUUUCAAGUUUAAAUUCUGCAUCUAAUACACUAUACUUGAUAUCAGUAUUGGUUCGCAAAACUGAAGAUGAGGCUUCAUUCCUGGGAGAAUUGACUGUUCUUUGCCAGGAACUAUCCGGUGAGAAUGAGUUGUUAAUCCCAAGGAUGUGCGUGUAUCCUACGAUUCAUUUAGUCACUAUUUUUGGGUGAAAGUUCUGACAAAGUCCUCACUCUUUGGCCCUACUGUUUGAGCAUAAUAGACACAAUAUAGAUGGCUUGUUUGCACCAUUUUCUCUUUCUAAAUGUAGGGUGUCUAGUAUUCCUGUGGUAAUUGGCUUAGUAGAAAAGUAAAUAAGAAAAUGUAAAGUAUUCCCUCAAAAAAAUAAAAUGUAAAGUAUGUCCAGUAAACUAAAAAAAGCUAGUCCAAAGUACACCUUAUGCUAGUAAAGAUGACUGUAAGUACAUAAACAACUUUACUAUUUACCAAUAAAUUUUCGGUCUUAAAUUGAUGAUCAAUCUUCUCUGAAUUUGUUCAUACAUUAAUUUUCCCGCCUCAACUCAACAAUGUAUGCUUCGGCUGGACCCAUAUUGAACUAUUAUCCAUGUUGACGGUGUACUGAAUUUAGGAUGAUGGCUGAUGGGUCUUUGGCUUCCACGAUAUCAUUACCCUGUCCGGGAUAGUGUGAAGAACCUCCUAAACCUAGAUCGGCGAGCAGGGCCAGCAAGGCAAAAGCAAUGUGAAGAUCAUGACAAACCAAGUAGUCCAACCAUCAGAGGUUCAGGUGCCUCUAACAUUUCCAGCAGAAGGGUGAUUAUAACAACGGUGCUGCGGAGACUCCUAGACGAUUUUGCUUUGGAAGAUUUCAUCAAGUUGUACAUCGAUCAAAUUACGAUGGUUUGAGAUGGUCAGAUUCUAAAUUGCUCAGAGAUUGUAGACUGUUUCUCUUAUUCCUUUGAAAAUGUAAUAUGGAAUGAUAGACCGGUGAUUAUCUAGAAUGACAAGACUUCAAAAUUGAGAUUAUUUCUCUUGUUCCUUAAAUGACAGAUACUUGUGAAACGAAAAUUGGUCUAAACAUUGUACAAAUAACAAAUGAAGGCUAGAAUCAUGAAACUCUUUCAGUUUGUGUACACAUGUUUGAGCAUUUGUCACGAAACCACCCUAAUAUCUUCUUCGGCCGCGAUGGGUUCAACUUCUGCUCCAGUUUUGGCAUACUGAUUUCAGUUACAGCAA
rnacentral:lncRNA from 1 species